rnacentral:lncRNA from 1 species
GCUCCUCAAGUUCAAAUAGAAGCUGAUAGCGUCCAAUAUAUCUCGAGCUGCCUUUGCAAGCAGUGAAAAUAUAUCAGGUAAAGCUGCUGGAGGAAAUUCCAUUGUGUUGUCGGGCUCUAAAGGAGUGAGUCCAGGUCUGUAAUCAUAGGUUUCUAGCCACAAUGGAGGAUCUGCAUUACAACCGGAGGUCUUGCACCAGUCACAAGGGUCAUUGUUAUUAACCAUAUCUGCAGCUGGGUAUGAUGCUUUCUGGUGGAAGUAGAGGCGAGCCGAAUCUAAACCCGACCUCAAAAGUGCCCCAUCACUCACUGGAAACUAAAUGAUGGCAGCAGAAAAGAGUGCUAGUGAUUGUGACAAAGUCGAAACAGAUAGUUUGUAAGAAUCUGAUGGAAGGCUUUCAGCAGGUGCCAGAUCAGUUAGCUUCACACGACCUAGAGAUUGUUGAAUAAAAAACCCGCACACUAGACCUUGUUCUUUAAUAUUUGGUUAUUAUUUUAUUUAAUUUAUUUGAUUUGAUGAACGACAAUUGAGAGAGUGUGUGAAAAGUAAAAUGAGUGUGUAGAUAACGUUACUUUUUUUUUUAUAAGGAAAACUAAUGAAAAGUUCAAAAAAAAUUUAAUUUUAAUGAAAAGGGACAAAUAAAUAUGGAGUGAAUAGUACCAAGAAGGUAAAAAUAUGGUUUUUCAUUAAAAGUGACCAGUAUCGAAAAUGUUUCCUUAAAACUCAUUUUUUAUAUACUAUUAUUAUUUUGGGGAAUUCAACAAAAACGUCAUAAAACUUAUUUUCAUAGAAUUUUUGUUGCAUUGUAAAAUUUUUCGGAAUUCACUUAAAACAUUUCGAAAAUGUUCCAAUCGACGAAAAUUUGUUCUAGCCACAUACUAAAAUCUGUUGGAAUUUUUCUCCGUUGAUUUUUAUAUUUUGGCCUUUAAAAUGAACAAUGCUUAACCACUUAAAAAUGAGAUUUCCUCACAAACGGUUUGUUAUUGAUUGUUUUUAUAUACCUUAAUGACUAAACAAUAUCAUAUUUUAUUGAUUGUUUUUUUUAUUUUUUAUGAUAUAUUAUCUUUACAAAUCGAUUUAUAACAUGAUAGUUCUGAUCAUAUUCACAAACUUUUGUGAAUCGGCCAAAAGAGUGUCACUAUGUGACAAUGACUCAUAUAACAUUGUCUUCCAAUUGAAAAAGUCAUAGGAAAAUCAAGAGACAAAAUAAAGCCAUGUGUGCGAAAAUCAUUUCCAAUAUUUUAUCGAGCCUCAAGUAGUGAAAUAGUGACAUCAUUAGCUGAGCAUGCUUUAGAAGAAUGACCGGCAUCAAGUUCAGUCAAAUCCCUUUCACUGUAGAAACCAGGUUUUAGAGGUGGGGGCAAUGCACCUUCACCACCCAACAUUAGAACUGCAGCCGACAUGCUUGGCCUAUCUUCUGGAUUCCUCUGCACACACAAAAGACCCACAUGAAUUGUUCGUACAACUUCAUGCAAAGUGAUGGAGUCCUCUACCGAUGUAUCAAGCAAUUCGAGAGGCCUGCCUUCUGUGUGUAGCAUCCACGCCUAAAACAUGAAAACUAGUCUACUUAGUGGAAGUAGUAGAAUCGAGUAAUAAGAAAUUUUAACCUGACAUUUGAUGUUGUCACACUCACAUGUCCAAGAAGGUUGAGUUUGUGGUCUGGAUGAGAGAAUCCUCUAUUUCUGCUCCCACUCACUAUCUCUAGCACCAUAACACCAAAGCUAUAGACGUCGGACUUUAUAGAGUAGAAACCAUCAAUUGCAUAUUCUGGGGACAUGUAACCGCUGCAAACCAAUAUGUCAAAAAAUGUUUUUAUACGCAAAGAAUCUAGACUUUCUAGUUUCUAUUAGUGUUUUUGAAAAUUCGGAAAAAAAAAAGUCGUACAAUUGUGUUUUAGGAUACUUACUAUGUUCCGACCACUUUCUUCGUUUUUGUUUUCGUUUCAUUUCCUCCAAAGCUUCUAGCCAGGCCAAAGUCUGAGAUUUUCGGAUUAAAUUCACUGCCUAACAAAAUGUUACUUGCUUUGAGAUCUCUAUGGAUAACUCUCAGUCUAGAAUCUUGAUGAAGAUAGAGGAUCCCUCGAGCUAUCCCAUUAAUAAUUUCAAAGCGCUUCGGCCAGUCUAAUAACAUCCUUCUUCUUUGAUCUGCAGCAUAUCAUACUUCAGUUCACAAUUGUCAAAAAAUACAUCAUGCGAGCAUAAGUGGACUAAUCAAACUAAAUGUAAGGUUUUUGAGUGGUCAAACCGAAUAUAAAGAAGUCUAAGCUCUUGUUAGGCAUGUACUCGUAGAUCAGCAUCAUCUCGUCUUCUUGAAUGCAGUAUCCAAGAAGCUUCACUAGAUUCCUGUGCUGAAGUUUGGCAAUAUGUGUAACUUCAUUCUUGAACUCGUCGAGCCCUUGUUGAGAACUUUUGAAAGCUUUUUCACUGCGAUUUCUUGUCCAUCUUUCAUUGUACCCUGAAAUCCAUCAGCGUAUGUUAUGGCCAAAAUUCAUACUUUAUAGUUUGCACACUACUUGUAUCCAUCAUUCCAUAUUAUAAUCAGAACUACAUCUAUCUAUGCAACUUGGAAAUUGUGAAGGACUAUUUGGUUGUACCUUAAAGACAGAUCCGAAACCUCCUUCACCAAGUUUGUUUUCACUUGAAAAGUUACUGGUUGCAGAAACUACAGUCAUCAAAUCAAAUAACGGUAAUUCAAGAUCCUCCUUUUGGCCGCAUCCCAGUUUUCCUGCAAAGACACAGUUACAGGGGUGAAAAAAAUUCCCUAUACAACAGAACUAUGUAACUUGUAAAGCAGAGAAGCAGAAUAGUAUAGCCAACUUACCACCUUUCUGGUGCUGCUUCUUCCAAACAUAAAACAGCAGGGCCAGGCCCAUGAUCAGCAGUCCGGUAGACAACACAGUAGUGCUUAUUAUGAUUCUCAUUUUCUUCACAUUGGAUUCAGAGUAUUUAGCGUCGAUCUUUGUAUUGUCUUCAUUUUUUAAAACAGAUAAUCUAUGAGUCAGAGAGUACUGAAUAAAUAAAUAAAAACUCUAUAGCGUCUAUCAUCCAACUAAUAGUUGCUAGUUUGUGAGACAAUUCUAAAAGAAGAUAUUGCUAAUUGUGUCAAAAUUCAAGGUUUAAACUGUUGGAAUCAAUACAACGUUUCACUUCGUUAUGUCUUGACUUUGUUUCAAGCUUUUGAUCAUGAAUAAAUGCAUAUUCACCAACAGGGGUUUUUUACAUACCUAGUUCCGAUGAAGCCAUUCUUAUAUAAAUAUCUUGCCCGUUUUCAGCCAAGUAUCUUAUAUCAAUUAGAUCGCCGUACCACAGCAAACACCCGCUUCCUCCAUCUCGGAUAUCCAAAUUUGUAUAAGCCGUGCAGGAGCAGUUCUUCAUGCACACCAUCUCACAUUCCUUGAGGUUCAUACUUCUGUUAAACCAGGAUUGUUCUGUGCUAGGCAAUUUCAACCCCGAGUACUUUUGGAACACGUCUCCGGUGCAAUUUAGAGAAGUCUUUCUCACACAGCCAUUUGACCAAUCCACCAAAUCCCAUUCGUUUGGAAACUUUGGGGUAAAUCCUUUCAAACAGCUACAUACCGGGGACUUUUCAAUGUUACAUGUGCCAUAUACACCACAGAAUGCAUAGUUGUUACAGUUAUCAAUCUGGGCUGUUAGGUAAAGAAACCAAUCUUUGGUUCUAUCAAUCCAUAUAUAGCGCCGUGAAAGCCCCUCUGAAGUUAACACCAUGUUCGAAAGGAUUGAGUUGUUGCGAAGCUUGUAACUGUAGUACAUUUCAUCAGUCUCAAAAACAAGACCGUAUGUGUAUAUAGGGUUUGGACUUAACUGCGGCAUUCCACUGAACCGGACUCCAUUCCAUGGUCCACUCCGAAAUUUUAUGACAGAACCUUCCCUCAGAAACAUUUCUGCAUAUCCUUUGGGACCAAAUUGAUAUGUAUAAUUACCUGGAGAAGGAUCCUGAGGACUUUUCCAUGAUCUAAGAUGCCAAUUGAAGCCUGUAACUGUGUUCCUACCAAGCUUCGCACCUGGUAGGCAUGUAUCGCCAGGGUAAUCAAAACUUUGCCACAGAAAGUUCUCAGGGUCAUCAUCACUCCUAUCUACCACAACAAGAUUACCCGAGUCCAAAAGACGUGCCACUGGAUUCUGUGCAGUUCUCGAUGUGUUGGAGGACCAAAUUGUGCUCAUGUUGUGGUUGAGGACAAGUAUUCCGGGGUUGGUGAUCUUCAGGACGCCAAACAAAUCAGUGAGGGGUGUGUCUCUGUUGGCAACCCAUACAAUGGUUUUAACAGAAAUCUUCUUGUACCAUAUCCCCACAUACCGUCUAUUAGAAGCAUCGGGACUGUAAAAUCCUAGCUCAAAUGUUCCGCCAGUUGAAACUACAGUCUCACCGUCACUAAUGGACUGAAAUGUACUUGUGCCGUCAUCAGCUAUGGAGAAUACUGCUGCAACAAUGAGCAGCAAGUAGAGUACAAAAGAAGCAAGCACAUCUUGGUUGAAGCUUUCAAUGGAUUUUUCAUUAAAUUCGUGGGAAAGCAAUGAAAAUCUAAGACCUCAAUUGUUCCCUCUACGCCCUUCUUACAUGUAUGAUUUCGCAUUUUUUUGUCAUUUUUUACUACAAUAUUGUUGAAUAAUUGGGCACAUGGGAAGACAAAUUGUUCUCCAGUGUGUAACUGAGGAAAUUAUCGGAAGUAGACCUAGGACUCGGUCCAAGAAUGAUAUUGUCUCAGCAAAAUAUAUAAAUUAAUAUAUAGUAGCAUUAUUGUUGGAAAAAUUAGACGAAGAGAGGAGCCCCCACAUUUGACUUGAAUACACAAAAAAUGCCAAAAAUGAACUAUCAAAUAAGAGCAUCUCGGAUGGGAGAGAGUAUGCUUGUAACUGGUUGUACUAGCAAAUAAGCCCACGCGUUGAUGCGGGAACCAUCUGUUUCAGGCGUAAUCGGAUGAAUAAAACAUAUUUAAUUUGAAUAAGAAUGUCCCCCAUGAUUUAUUCUUCUCGUUUAUUUUUCACAAAACCAAUCACAUAUUUAAAAUCCAAGUACGAAAGCUUUGCAAAGAUAAAUAAAAAAUUUAUAUAACUAAUUAGACUUUGAACAUGCAAUCAGGGCACAAAAUUGUAUACCUAAAAAUAGUAAGGAACUGGCUUCUUCCUCCCACAACCAGAGUUCCUGAAAUUUCCAAAGAAAGUAAAUCUGUUAGCAAUUCAAAGAAUUGGAGGACCAAAUCGUAUUAAAUUUGAGUUAAAUGAGCAAAAGGUACACCAAUUAAAUGAGAUACUAAGCACAUGUCGAAUCUAUGAAAUAGAAGAACAAUCAUGUUAAGACUCCCAAGAUGGUGUCCUGAGCACAAAAUUAUAGGUUAAAGGUAAAUCCCAAUCCAAAACUCCAACCUUUUAACCGAAAAUGAAAACAAAAAGCAUGGAACAUAUAUUUGGGUUUUAUUAUUAGAUUUUCUAAAUCCUCAAUUUGAAUGUGUUGUAAAGAUAAUACCACCAACUAAGGGUGGCAAUCUGACCAUCGUUGUGCAUGUCAUGUCGACUCUAUGCAACUGAAUAUACAAAAUAAGGAUAGCAGCAAAGAGAACCCGUCUCUGCAUUUCCACCAAUAUAUACAAAAGGGUCAAAAUUUGAGUUUCUGAAGACAAAUGACACUUAAAAUGGGCUCACCAUCUCUUAUUACUUAUUGGAGUGUAUAGUAAGAUCAAAUAUCACAUUCAUACACAAUAAUAUCUAGUAUUAAAGCUCUUUUGAGUUUCACUCCAAAACCUCAAGUUACAGCUUUAGAUUAUAAUGUUCCCCUCAGACAAUGAUCAUUCACAUUCAACAAAACCAUUCCAUCUGCUUCAUUGAUAAAGAUUCAUCAGCUAUUUAACUCUACAAAUAAAAUGAACAUAUAAAAUUUUGAAUUCAAAUCGAAUCACACAAACAAAUUAGUUAUGAAUUGAGAACUAUACCUUGCAUGCAUGCCAAAAUCCUGCCAAGAUAAGAGGUUGGAGUAGCCAAAAACACAUUUACACCAAAAUUUGGUCCCUGUAUAGAAUUAUAACCACCCUUUUAAAUUGUUGAUAAUUAUAACCAAAAGUUGAAUGAAAGUACGAAUAUACCCUUAAUUACUAAAAUCCUCCUCUUUUGCAAUUUUAACGAUUUAAGAACUAGCAGUGCUAGCUUCAGUUUUUCCACAAUCCUUGCAUCCCCAAAUUCCAUCUGUGUUUCUCUUCUCAGCAUACUUGCCACACAAUUCAUGCACUAUUUGAUCAAUAUUAAACACUAAUGCAUGAAUACCUUUCCUUAUCUUUUCCUCCCCUGGGUCUUGCGUCUUCUUAUACAACUUGCUAAAACCAUGCCUUUUGUAUUCUUCAAUUCGUAAAAAAAAAAAUUGCCAGAUCCGUACCUUUUACAUUCUUGGUCCAUAAAAGGAACAAAUUAAUUAACCUGCAAUUCAUACAAUUAAAUAAAAGAACAAUAAACCCGUUUAUUUUUUUCUUAUAAAAACACCAAAUAAGCUUUAGAUGUAAUCAGAUUCGUUUUGAAAAGAAAAAAAGACAUCAAAAACAAAAUAAGAGAGACAUUUGAGAAACCCAGCAUGGAAGGUCGGUUCCCAAGAGUGGGUGUUUGAGAGUGAUGUACUCUGAUGUUCCACAGCUACCCAAGAAACCUAACAACAAAUUUAAGAUCAACACAAAAACCAACAAUUAUGCAUUUGAUGUUGUAAUCACUUGGUUCAAUUGCCUCUGAGUAAAGAGAAGUGUGGUGGUAGUGUUUCAACAAUUGGGAUAGAGAUGAAGAGUUAAAGAAACAAACACUAGAGCUCCAGAGGUAGGAGAAGAAGAGAGAGUUCUGACAUACGGGUAAUUAAGUCUUUUUAACUUCAAUUUUGGCUAGUUUUAUAAGAAUAAGAAAAGAUAGGCUAAAUUUCAUUAGAUGGUUCUCAAAAUGGUUAUAUUUCCAAAUUUCUCAAAAUUAAAACUAAAAUAAUUGAAAAUCUUAAAAGUUAGAGGCUUUGGGUACCUCUUGUUCGGACAAGGGAUUGCACUGCAUGAGCUGAGCAAUCUGUUCAUCCAGGUUCGCAUGUGAGUUCGAAGGGACCGAAUCCAUCCUCUUCCUCUUCCCCCAAAACGCACAAGAUGCCCCUCCGAAACCCUAACCUUAGAUCUGUAGGCAAUCGUAGACUUCCCUCUUCGUCUUCUUCGUUUUUCUUCGAGCCACUCAGAGAGAGAGAGAGUUGGGAGAGAGAGCGGUGGUGGAGAAAAUCCUCUCAUCUCUGUGCAGCCCAUACCAUUGCCUGUAAACCCAUACUCCCAUACCCGUUCCCUUCAAUCCUCGCACAAAAUCCUCUCAUCUCCCUUUCUCUCAUCCUUGUCCCAUCUCUCUCUGCAAAUCGCAGAAAUACUCCCAUCUCUUUCCCUCGGCGGCAACGAAGAGCUCGUUCUGCUUAUUGUACCUGAACGGAUGGCGGAAGCUGACGCGGGCCAACGGAGCACCGUGACCGGGAUCGUGGUUGAUCUCCCUCUCCCUCUCCUAUCUCUAUCUCUAUCUCCAUAAGCAUGACCUCCCAAAUGCGAAACCCUCAGCGAGGGAUCCCUACUCCUUUCUCUCCCUCUCUCUCUUUCGCGCUGUCUCCCUCUCCCUCUCUCUAUCUCUAUCCCAGAUUCCCAGAGGCGGCAUGGCCUCUCGAACCCAAACCUUCUGCAACGGCCAUUCAUUAAAGCAAUUGCAUAGCCGUAAAUAGAACAAAAAUCGGGUCCAAACCACAAAGGCCACUCUGUAAUGCAGUGGCAUGGCCGUAAUUAAACUGAAAUUCGGACCCAAAGGCUGUUCAUUUAAACGGAGCCAAUAUCAAACCUUACUUUAGACUAAAGUAACUAGAAAAUAGGCCCGCGCGUUGCAACGGGAUUUGAAUAAAUUCAACACAAUCAUGAAUGAACAGAGCGGCAAAAAAUGCAACCAAUAAGCAUUUAGACAAUGUUUUAGAUAAAAAUUUGAAGCAAUAGUUGAUAAAGAAAAUACAAAACAUAAUUUUUUAUGAGUUAAUGAUUCUUGCGGGUUCAAUAUAAACAUCCAUGAAUUAAACUUAAUAUUUUAUGAGUUAAUGAUACUUGCGGGUUGAAAGUAAAUAUCCAUGAAUUUUGCUGAACAUGUAAGCUACAUUCAUGCAUUGUUAAAAAGCCACUCAUUUUCUUAAAUAUGGAAGUUGCGAUUUGUCUAAAAAUAUUUCUGGUUCGUUGAGAGAGCGCAGUUAUCAACAACACAUAUUAAAGCACUUCAAGAAGAAUGAGAAAGUUCACUACCAGAGCCUUGAUUCAAGUGCAAUCGCUGCGGACCCCUAGAUCAAAGGCAGUAGCAAGAGUAGAUCACGAUGUUGCGAUGAUAGUUCGAUCUAAACUGCAAAAAAAUCAAUGAGAUUCAGAGUAAGAAUUCAAAGCGCAAAUAAAUGGACAACAGGAAAAAUACCUCAAUCUGUGACCUCUGAUAAAAAAAAAUUAUGGCCUCUGCUCAAUUUAAAACCACAUGUAGAAAACUCUGCUCUAAUCUGUGCAUCACACACAGCAUACACAUUUUAAAACAAACAAUAACAAUCACAAAAGAACCAAGAGUGAUGGCAUAAAAAUGUCAGGCAUGUGGCAUCAUCUGUCAAUGAACAAAAAUCAGAUGCAUCACGUAUUCUAGAGGAAUAGAUAACUGAGAAUUCCAUUCACAAGGUCACCACCACAACAAUAAACAAUAGAAGCAUGAACAAAAACAUGCAAAACACAUACAGUGUGGUUUUUGCAGAGAGGUUGUAACACUGAAAAACCAGUAGAGCAAGAGGAAAAAGAGAAAUGGAGAGCAAGGUGGUAGCCAAAAGAGAAAACCAAAGUUAUCAAAUAGCAAUUAGCACAAAAUAUCUUCUUAGCUCUCCUAAUUUAAUAAUUUAAAAGCAUUUGUUGUACUCCAACCAAAAGGUGGAGAACUGAACCACAACUGAACAGUGAACAAACCAGAAGGAAAAAAAAAAGCCUCUUCAAUUAGGAUCAAACCAUAAGUAGCCAAAGAAGAAAAAAUUGGUUCGAAACUGAGACUUAUCUUUUGAACCAAAUGAAACUGCCAGCUGGGGAGAACACCUCAUCAAUUGUUGUGGAAAUGACCUUCAUCAAUUCUUGUGGAAAUGACUUCCAGCUAGAACAAAAUUACUGAAAGCAACCCUACCCUCGCCCUCCCUCCCUACCUAGCCAUCUCUCUGUGCACCCAUUUCCGACAAAAACGCAACCAAGCUUUCAGGCACCCAUAACCCUUGAUUUGCUCAUCCCACCCCUUGUUUCCAAACCACACGACUCUUCCCUCUCUCCUCUUCUCUCUGCCAUCCCUUUAGGUCAGCCCUGGUCUUCUCUAUGCCAUUUCAGCAGGUCAGCCCUGCUCUCUGUCCAUGACUCAAGCAAAUUGAUAGCAACCAAAAAUAUAUAAUAAAAAACUAACCACAAAGCAAUUUCAUAAAUUUAUAUAUAUAAAGGAUCAUAUCAAAAUGGUAAAUUCGUCUGCCACAACAAUUCAUAGCAACCAAACAAACUCAAGGAGCCCAAACACACAAAGCCCAUUCUUAUAAACCAAUGGCAUGGAUGUAAAUAACAAUUGCAGCAACAUUGCUUUUUGCAGUGCCAAAUUCAAUUAAGUAAUACUCCUAAAAAUAUACUUAUUACAUCAUAAAUACUAAUUCUAUUUACAUCCUUGGUUUCAUGAAAGGGAGUUGUUAGUGAUACUGUAAAAAAUUUAUUGCAUUGUCAGCUGAAUACAUAUGUAAAACAAAGCAAAGUGAAAGAACACAGUUUAAUAGUCCAAUGAAUUAAAAAAAUCAGAAAUGUGAGUUUUCACAAACAAUUACUAAAUUAAUAAUGGAUGUAACAACUAACUGACCAUCCUAAAUCUCCAGCUUAAUUCUGUGAGCCACAUUGUUUGAUAUCUGUAGUUUAUUGUCAUUCAGCUUCACACAUGUUUGAGUAGGGGACUCCAUGAAAGCUACAAUGUCCAUAAAAUGUAAUUAUUACUAAUUAUAAGCAAUGUAAUCAAACAUAAUGGUACGAUCUAGUUUUAUUCCUUUCCACAAAGCUCUCAGGUUCGACUCUUAUGAAAUGUUGAGUUCAAUACAAAUUAUUAAUGAAAGAAACACUCCAGCAUCUUUUGAGUUUAAGUAUUACUACUUAAACAUGUUAACACACCCAUAAGCUAACUAAUUUUAAUUAGUCUUUGAUGCACUUUCUAUGUACUUAUAUGAAGAACCAACAGAGUGAGUAAAAACAAAUUCUUAGUAAAAGAAUUAGCCAAUUCUAAUUAACAACUACUAAUCAAACUGCAAAAGCAACAUAUGAGUUUUUCUGGCUUGAAAGUUCAAACAUAGAACCAAAAUAAUCAAAGGUCUUCAUAUGCAUUAUGAGAAAAAACUCAUUACGGUAUCAGAAAUCAUAACUUAAAGCUAAACCAAAAAAAGUAAGAGACACAAUUGAUGUUCUUUAUGUCCAUCUAAGAGAUGGGCAAGCAAAUUUUGUGAAGAAAACACCUGCUGGUUUGUCCAACCUGAGAAGAUAUUAAGUUCUUAUUGAAGAUUCAUUGCUUGAGUGGUUUAUUUAUUUAAGUGAUUUCUAUUUUUUUGAGAAAAUGAUACCGCCAUAAAAAUUAUAAAAAAAAAAUACAUAACAGCGCAAUCAAAUCAUUUUUUUAUGUCCUAUACAGUCUGGUUGAAGGUGCCCAAAUCAAAACAAAAUGGAUAUCUGCAGACUUGCUUGCUCUAAGGACACAACGAUUUCCAACUUUAGUAGAAUCACAUCAAACUCUAUCAAUUACUUCUGAAAUAGUAAAAAACCAUGAAAUUGUGUAGUCACUAAAGACCUAAAUACUGAAAUCCCAAAAGAAAAACAACCCAAUUCAUAAAUUAAUGAAUGAAAGGAGUAUAAAGUUCAAUCAUACACUAAGAAGAGUGAGAAAAGAUGUAGAAAGUCUUCUCAUAAGAAAAUUUGUAUAAAUUAAUAAUUUAGUCCUUCUCGGGCUUAAAAAUACCAUGUACUACACACAUUAAUGUAAUCAAUAGCUCAGAUAAUUCAGGAGGCGAAAACCAAAAGCCAAAUUUUUUCAUUUCAUGCAUUGAAAACAGACUCUUCAGUCUAUACAGUCCAAAAGGAUAUAAUACUACCUGAGGACCCUCAGAUCACUUGAAAGUGUAUCCCAAGUGUGAAGGCUGUCAGCGAAAUCGAACUCCUGGGUUAAGAGGAGGGUGAUCCACUUAAAUGCAUAAAAUUGGGAUUGACCUUUCAUUUAAAUAGAAGCCCAGUCAGUCUUGUAUAAAGAAAUAUGAUAUUCUCAAAUAACCAUGAAAACCUUAAGGUGAUGAAUAUUUAAGCAGCAUUUUACUACAAUUGGUCACCAAAAACAUAUAUUGGAGAAUCAAAUUGAAAAAUCCAACAUAACCCAAAUUUACAUCAACAAACAAAAGAUGCUACAACAAAGAAAAAGAGAGCCAAGAACAGAAUUUUACUUCAUCUAUGCUGAUAACUGUCUGAGAACGAAACAAAGACUAAUUGGAAUGCAAAAAAUAAUGAGGUGAAAUCAGCAUACGGAAGUGUUAUUAAAGUGAAAUUAUCCACUAUGGUUUGACAUAUGGAUAAUUUCGUCUAAGAAAGAGAAAUAAGCAUAUGGAAGCGUUAUAUACAUAUAUAUAGAGUUUUUGCGCUAAUUUAUUGUGUAUUGGGAAAGAAAAUAAUGUAGUUAUCAUUACUUAUUGGUUUUGAAUUUGGGUGUCCGGAAGACUUAAUAUUUGGUUUAGUUUGUGUAGUUUUUUUUUUUGGGUAUCUUUGUUUUCUUCUAAUCAUGCAAUUUCACGUUGUAUGUUUGAAUGCUUUUGUUUCAAAAGACCUGACAAAAAUGAGAAAAGAGAAUGGAGACCUUAUGGCAUGUUGUUGGUUGAAUGCUAUAUGAGAAUACAGAAAGGCCAAACCUUCGGGAGUUAUUUUAAGUUAAAAAAAUAUCGAUGCAUCAAAUACACUUAAUGCACACUCCCAAAUGCAGUCUUCAUGUUCCCAUCGCAACACUAUGCAUCUAAAUCCUAUACUCAAUUCAUAAAGGUUAUGAAGACCCCAUCAAUUAAGGGAAUAUAAUUGCAAUAUGCAUUAUUAGUUGAUAUCAACCAUGCAUAUCUCACACAACUAAGAAUGCAGGGCCAAAACCAGAGUAUACUUACAUAGGUGUUAUUUCCUAUUUGCAUUUUGAUAAGUCUCAUGUUUUAGCAAUCAUCCAGCAUCCCACUCAUGGCAUAAUUGUUUGUGGGAUGACACAACCCAUGACACAACUGGAGUCUAAUUCUACAGAACCAAUGACACUAAACAAUCCAAAAUUAACGGAUUACAGUGACAACAUUCCAACAAAAGAAAGAAAAACCAAAAAAAUUAUCUAUUCUAAAGUAAUUUAGUUCCAUCAUGCAUAAAUCAAGGUAGUCACGUAAGGCUACUAUCUGUAGUAAUCCCUCACACAGUGCAGCCCCCUAGCAAUCUAACAAAGAAAGAUUUAUGUAAAAAGAGAAAAAGAAAAAGAGCUUUAAAUGCGAGUUGUUUGGUGUGGUUUUCGUUUUCUCUUCUCUUACAAACUAAGCAUACAUCUAUCUAUCCAUCAAAGCUAUGCUGAACUCAAUUUUGCUCUGAAAUCUCUAUUUUAGACUUAGUAUCGAGAAACAAAAAGACUUAUAUGCAAAAGAUAACUCAUUCAUCACAAAGAAACAAUACAUUUGCAGUAAAUGUUUAAGUCAGAACAUAUUGAUCAUCAUGAAUUGCAGCAUUAGCAUUCCAAUUAGAAACUUGUAGCCAUAAACUUCAACAUUUCACUACCACGUUUGAUCACAUUAAACAAUCCAAUUAUCGAUAAUUACCUUGGCAGAAGCUUGAAUUUCUUUGGCAGUCACAUGCAAAGCAAGUGCAUAACCUUAAACCCUCCGAUUUUUGCUAAUCAGAUUUAAACUCAAAACCAAAUCAUUAACAACAUCAUUAUACUAAAACUAAAUCAUUAGCAGCAGCAUUAUUAACUGAUUAAUUAAACUAAAUCAUUAACAGUACACUAUUAACUGAUAAAUUAACUGACCUUAAAAAAAAAAACGGAUUAAUUGACAAAUAACAGUAACGAAAAUUACAAAUUUACCGGCGACGUAAUCCAUGGCUGUGAGAUCCCCACUCUUGCCUUUCCCUCUCUCUCUAUCGCUCUGUCUUUGUCCGCUGGCGUUCUUACGGAAACAUGAUAUCUUACACAAAACCCAUGAAUCUAACUGAAAAGGCCAAAUUUAAAUGAACCAAGACAAACAAAAUAUCAAACACAGUUCAUUGUCUCUCUUUGAAUUUUAAAUCACAUGGUGCUGCCCAAUUUAUUAUCGGCUAGCAUUUCAUAUACUCAUGCAUUAGAUAAAAAAUGAUAUCUAUGUUAAAAUUACUUGGACUGCUUUACCAUGACUUAAGAACGCAAGCCCAAAUCAUAGUAUCUACAUAUUCCUUUAGAUUAUGUAAAACACUAAAACAAAAUCCCCACUUCUCACUACAUGUUUAAGAUGCAUGAGCCCAUACGAACCGCUUCACUGUUCACCUAUACCCUCAGUGCUAUAAAUCCAAAUAAAAAAACCAAUAAGUAAAACUAGCUGCUAACCAAGCAUCCCUUGAACAAAUUAAGAAAUUCAAAUAAAAUUAAACACAAAAAAAAAAUUAACACAAAAGAUAUGCUUGAAUUGUUAAUCAAAUCAAAACACACAAAAAGUUAACAGUGCGAGAAACAACAGCAAGCCUACCAGCAGCAGCAGGCACAUCCUGUCACACAUACCCAUAUUGGAAUCGAAUGCACUUUCACAUAUGCGCUGUCAUAAGGAUGCAAAUUAAUUGUUGCAUUUAUAUUGUUUGCUCCCUAAAUCCGCCAUAGGCCUUGCAGGCAUACCGGGGAUUUGCUCACAUACGAGAUUGGUGGGUGCGGGCGUGCCACUACUAGAUGCUGCUAGUAGACGAGAUUUGAAUGAUUGAGGUUGCGCCUGAGUUUGACUUCGAACCAAGAGAUUGUGCCAUUGAGUGGGAGUUACUCAAAUUAAGGUUCUUUGUUUGCCUUAAAAAUAAGGACUUUACUUAUAUGGCGAGAUAGAACAAUAUGUAAAUGACAAGGUUGCUUGGAAAUAUAAAUGACAGAGGAAAGUGACUAAUAUAUUGCAGAUUGCUUGUAGAUUAAAUGACUGAAAGAGGGUUGUACAUAAAAGCUACAAAUCAGAUCGAUACUACAAGUGAGUAGCAGAGCUAACAAACAAGAAAAGCAAAUGAUGCUUGGCUAAAAAUAAAUGUCUACAAGGAAGCUGAUGAGCUAAUUUGAGUAGAGUUUUGAUUGGUUGUUUUGAGUGUCCUUAAUCCUUGUGUUUGGGCUCCUUUAAAUAGAGAUCUGGAGGAAACCCCCUGCUGAAGACACUGCAUCUGCCCGAAAGAAACUUGGGCAGUUUGUAUUUUCACUUGCCAACUUGCAUGGAGAAAUAAUAUUAAAAGGGGAACUUGCUUUUCCACCACAUGCUUUCAUCACAUGUCUUCCCACUUGUAAUAAACUAACAUUUAAAAGAAGCAAGUUGGCUUUUUUCACAUGUUCUCUACAUCCACAUCCGUAUGUUGCCUUCCAACCCAUUUGCAAGGAUGCAUGUAUCUUGAUUAAACAAAGGCUUGACAAACCUCCACCACCCAAACAAAUGGGAAAAACAAUAUUAUAGUGUCAAACCCCUCCACUUGAUAGCUAAAUAUCUUCAAAGUUAGUCUUCUUGCUCAUUAAUCCUCCAAAUGCCAUAUUUUACCCAUAUUGCCCAAAUAAGUAAAAAUGGGUAUAUUUUGAGUGUAAACAGUGCCCCCCAAGUUUUACAAAUUUGAGCAAAGUUUGUGAAACUUACAACUCCAAUAAGCUCAUCCAGAAGAUUGAUGAUAUAGCAGGCAUAAGAGACAUUUGAGCAUGAAGAACACUUGAUCACAAAUGGCAACUUUGUUUGCUAUGACUUCCCAAAAGCCUUGGUGGCUCUAGUGCUACUAGAAAGGAAGAGACACGUCUACCUCUUCGGUCAUUCUGUCGUUGAUAAAUUUGGCAAGAUGAGCAAGGCAAUUGACAGUGUAACUAGCAUUGGAAAGAAGGUUGUCUGGCUUGUAUUCCUUCUUGUUGAUACCAAAAAACAUGGGAGCACCUUUAUUCAUUACAGAGAUGAUAAACCAGAAAAAUGCCUGAAGUCGGGCAAACUAGAAAAGAGGGAUAAGAGAUAAAUAAACUUGGGCAACUAUCCUUUUUAUUGUUCUUUUUCCUUUUUGCCUCUUCUCAUAUAAUAUAAUAUAAUAUACUAUAUAUAUAUAAUAUAGAUUAUGUCUCUUCAGGCAAAGUAGAGGACAGAAAGAGACAGGAAGAAAGAAAAGGGAAGGAAAAGAAAGAAAAAGAAAAGGAACAAAGAGAGAGAGAGAGAAAGAGAGAAGAGGGAAGAAAGACAAAAAGAAAGACAGAGACAGCCGAGCAACUGCCCUUUUCUUUGUUGCUUUUCUGUUCAUAUAUAUAUAUAUAUAAUAUAUAUAUACACAUAGCCCGAUCAAGUACAGGGAAGAAAAAGAUAUAUACAAUAUAAUAUAGAUAUUAUAUAUAGAGAGAGAGAGAGUCGUCUCUUUGGGCAAAAAUAAAAGACAGACAACUCAUUCGGGCAACAACAAAACAUGACAAGAGAGAGAGAGAAAUAAUAAAAAGAAAAAGAAAGAAAGAAGAAGACCCUCUUUUCGGGUAAAAAGGGGACAGAAGAGAUAAGAAAGAAAAGGGAAAAGGGAGAGAGAGAGAAAGAAAAUGAAAAAGAGGAAUAGAGAGAAGGAUAUAAAAAAGAGAAAAGGAAAGCAAACAGGUCAGCACUGGAAAUGGCUGCAGAGCUCAAGAACUUCGGCAAGGAGGUCUGAGUAUCAACAUCAGCAUAUCUGCUUUGGUUACCCAGAAAUUUGUGCGGAAUGGAUAGAUUCUGCAUUUGUGAAUUUCUUUCUUGCUUCAUCAGACUUCUGAUUUUGAACUCCUGAGGUAUUUUGAAAUAGUUCUUUUGGGGAAGUUACUAUCCAUCCCAAAAUUCAAAAAUUGAGAUGCAAAGGAUGAUCAAGCUGUUGGAGUACUGUUAGUUGAGGACGGUGCUGGUAUCUACAAGAAGUUUCAGUGCUCUCAUUCGAACCUUUAAUUCUUUUAUAAGCAGUUGGUAACAUAUCUUUGGAGUUGUAGCAGUUGUGGCAAGAACACUUCAUGUUUGCCAGAUCGAAUGUGGGGCCUCACAUUUGAUUGACAAUAUCUAAAUCAAUUGUAGUGGAGAAUAUAUCAUGUCCCUCGGGAAAAAUUGUAGUUCCGUCGGGCCACAGCAACAUAAUUUUCUAUCAUCUUCCUCCAGCUUUCGAAUUUCACAUUUAGAUGCAGCUCCAUUUUUCUAUUUUCUCACCCAUGAAAACUAGUCUCCAGUGAUUAAUAGAAGCCACAUCAAAAGCUCUUACUGUAGCCUCCGAUCAGUGGCGGAGCCAGGAUUUCGGGUUAGGAGGGGCCUCUCACAAAUAUUAAAAAAAAAUUAAAUCGAUAGUAGUUACAAAACUGUUAACCAAAACAUCAUAGUAUAUAUAUGAAAAGUAACCAAAACAUCAUAGUAUAUAUAUGAAAAUGAUCAUAUUGGAGAGUUUCCGAGUUAAUUUCCAUAGAAUCCAUACAAGUUUGUUUUGAACUACUUUCAUUGUUCUUUAGACUCUUUGGAGACGGUUCUAAUAUCUCAUGUUGUGUUUUUCUUUUGAAAUAUCUUUCCAUAACUGAAAAGUAAAAAAAACAUAGACUCACUAACUUUAAAUUAAAAGAAAUAUGAACAUAUAUGCUAAUUUUACAAACUAAAACAAAUUAGGCAAUAGUUAAGAGAAAUUGCAAGACAUCAAUUUAAUCAUAAUUUAUAAACAAAAAAUUGUAACAGGAAUUGAGAGUAAAAUACAUACUUUGGGUUGUUGACCAAUUAACUAAACUUCAAUGUCUUUUUUAUGGAAUGAUGGAAUAAUUGAAUUCUUUAAUCUGCAAAAAAAAAAAUAUUAUUUGUUAAAUUAAUUUACAAUUGUAGAUGACAACAUAUAUGAAUUAGCAAAUUGUAAAAAAAAAUUGAAAAUGACAACUAUGGAGAUUCGAAGUUCAUACUCUUGAGGAUCAUGGAAAUUGAAGACUGAUAGAUUGAUAGACUGGUUGAAGACUGUGACAUGCUAUAGAUGAGAGAAGCAGUGUACGGCUUGUGUACCACGGGAGGGAUCAGACUGAGAGAAGCAGUGUUCUGACUAUUUUUUUCAAACUAGCAGCAGAGCAACAGUCGGCUAGAAUUAGAGAAUAAUAAAAUACUAAUUUUUAGUAUUGGGAAAAUGAAUGGAAGAUGGAGUGUUGGAAGUUGGAAUGUUGGAAGUUGGAAUAGGUUAUAGGUAGGCUUUAGGGUUAUUUAAAGAGGGCCGGAUAUUCUUAAAAUAUUUAAAGAGGGCCGGAUAGUUUGUCUACGAAAUAGGAAUGAUUUAACUGAAAAUAAUAAAAUAAUAAGUAAUACUAAUUUUUAGUUAUAAACAAAAGCAGGAUGGGCCUAGGACUACUGUGGUCCUAUGGUCCCUCCGCCCCUGCCUCCGAUAGUAGUUGUCGAAGUAGCCCGACCCUUGGUUGUAAGAGCUGGUGAGAGUUAAGGAGACAUGCAGAGUCUGUUGGUGGUAAGCAUGGAAGACGUCAUUCCUGUCAGGCAUGGUUAUGGUUCCAUCGGGCACCAUUAGUCGGGCAAGAUAGCCCCAUGCUCUCUUGCAAUAGCCAUUGAGAAUCAGAUGACAUGCUUUUCAGCAGGAAAGCCAUAGUUUUGGCUUUUAAUGAAACUCCUCAUUCCAUGAAUUUGGGUACAGCCACUGGAUGGUUUUCUAAUUUCAAUUUUUUGGGUUAGGGCUAAAUACAUCCAUUGGAUAAGAGAAAAGUGGAAAGAAGGGUAAAAAUGGCUACUCACAAACUACCAAACUCUUUAUAUUUUCUGUAAAGCUCCCCAACAAGAAAACAAAAAGGGAAAGCAAGAAAGAAAAACAAAAGCAAGAAAGCAAAAUGUUUUUGUGAUUUUGGAAUUUUUUAUUUUUAUAUCUUUUUCUCUGUGACAACGUAAGAAACAAACAAAGAAAACACAGCCCUUUUGGGCAAACAGAAAAAAGAAAAUUAAAGCCCUUAACGGGCAAGUCGAAAUAAAAAUAAAUAAAAAGAAAGACUUGUCAGGCUACUAAAACAGUUAAACACAUAAAGACAAAGUCCUUUUGGGUGAACCAAACAACAACAAGAAAGCCCUCAGCCGGGCAACAGAAAUGCCCAUUCGGGCAAAGUUAAAAAGGUUACCCAUAUUUUUAAAAGCAAAAGGAGAGAGAGCCCUUUUCGGGCAAAAGGAAACAAAUCAGAUUUUAAUCUUUUAUAUUUUCUUUGUUGUUUUUUUUUUCAAAACUAUAUUAUAAUAAAAUAUAUAUAAUAUAUAUGUACAUAAAGCCCAUUCGGGCAAAGUACUUCCAUUUCCCUCUUUUCACAUAUAAUAUAUAUAUAUAUAUAUAUAGCCCUUUUGGGCAAAGUAAAAGACACGACAAGACAAAGAGAAAGAAAUAAUAAAAAAGAAAAAGAAAUGAAGGAGGGAUUUGGUACCUACUCUCAAGCAAAAGGAAAGAGGAGAGAAAGAAAGAAGAAAAGGAAGACAGGGAGUUCCACUUCGGGCAAAAGAGGAAACAACAAAAUAAGCCCUAUUUGGGCAUAUUGGUCAAGCCCCUUGAUUGCCCAGAUAUCUCUUAACACUCAAAUCUUUUUCUCUUUUUAAAAUUGAGUAUAGAAAGAUCAAAUCCACCUUUUAACUUGGCCAUACCAUAUAGCUUGGGAACCAUAGGAGGUGGCCAUUCAUGUUUGAUCCCGAGCUUUGCCCUCAUUGAGAUCUCGAUAUGGAUAACAUGCUUGUGUUGGCGGGGAGGAGUGUAUGAGCUUUUUUCUUCUUCUUCGGGCUCCACUUGAGGUGUGAGUUCGAGCCCCCCGAGCGUUGGUGUUUGGCCUACAAUAGCCAUAAGCUCCAUCUUAGCCGUUAUCAGUUCCAAUAUGUCGGCUUGGUCUUCUACAACCAUAUCCAUUUUCAUGGAUUUUUCAUUGGGUGGGGCCAUUGUUUGGCCUUCAUCAACGUGUAUGAUUUGUUCUUCCUUGGUUGUAGUAAGGUGAGUGUGCUUUGUAGAGGGGAUUUGACACAUUUGAUCUAUCAACUUUCUCAAAGUUUCUCCAAAAGUUGUAUAGCUUUCCUCCACCCUUUUAAAACACUUAGUCACCUCUUCACCAUAUUCGAUGCUUGCCAUAUGGAGUUUGGACACCUUCUCCAAUUUGCCCACAUCCUCUUUGUAGAGCUUUUCAUCUGGAUGAUCAUGAGUUGGCAUCUCAUAUACUGGCUCUAUGUACUUAUUGGAAGCAUUUUGAUACUCAAAGCCAUUUGUUGGCCUAUCAUAGUAUUCAUGAAUGCGAUUGUCUUCAAAAGAAUAAUAACCUUCAUAGCCAUAAGUUGGCUAAUCUUCAAGAUUAUUAUUUAUUUGAUGGCCAUGAGUUGGCCGACAAUCAUAUUCCAUAGGACUUGAGUACUCUUCAGCCAUGUACCCAUAAGUUAGCAACUCAUAGGUUGGCUCUAUGUGAUAGCCAUAGCUUGGGCGCUUUUCCACACCGUCAUCCUCCGAAAAAGCAGAAAAAUCAUGAACAUAAGGAUUGUUCAUGAUCUAUCUUCAUAUAAGGAUCCCACCGGGUGUGCCAAAAUGUGUUUGCUCCCUAAAUCCGCCAUGGGCCUUGCGGGUAUACCGGGGAUUUGCUCACAUACGAGAUUGGUGGGUGCGGGCGUGCCACUACUAGAUUCCGCUAGUAGACGGGAUUUGAAUGAUUGAGGUUGCGCUUGAGUUUGACUUCGAACCAAGAGAUUGUGCCAUUGAGUGGGAGUUACUCAAAUUAAGGUUCUUUGUUUGCCUUAAAAAUAAGGACUUUACUUAUAUGGCAAGAUAGAACAAUAUGUAAAUGAUAAGGUUGCUUGGAAAUAUAAAUGACAGAGGAAAGUGACUAAUAUAUUGCAGAUUGCUUGUAGAUUAAAUGACUGAAAGAGGGUUGUACAUAAAAGCUACAAAUCAGAUCGAUACUACAAGUGAGUAGCAGAGCUAAUAAACAAGAAAAGCAAAGGAUGCUUGGCUAAAAAUAAAUGUCUACAAGGAAGCUGAUGAGCUAAUUUGAGUAGAGUUUUGAUUGGUUGUUUUGAAUGUCCUUAAUCCUUGUGUUUGGGCUCCUUUAAAUAGAGAUCUGGAGGAAACCCCCUGCUGAAGACACUGCAUCUGCCCGAAAGAAACUUGGGCAGUUUGUAUUUCACUUGCCAACUUGCAUGGAGAAAUAAUAUUAAAAGGGGAACUUGCAUUUCCACCACAUGCUUUCAUCACAUGUCUUCCCACUUGUAAUAAACUAACAUUUAAAAGAAGCAAGUUGGCUUUUUUCACAUGUUCUCUACAUCCACAUCCGUAUGUUGCCUUCCAACCCAUUUGCAAGGAUGCAUGUAUCUUGAUUAAACAAAGGCUUGACAAACCUCCACCACCCAAACAAAUGGGAAAAACAAUAUUAUAGUGUCAAACCCCUCCACUUGAUAGCUAAAUAUCUUCAAAGUUAGUCUUCUUGCUCAUUAAUCCUCCAAAUGCCAUAUUUUACCCAUAUUGCCCAAAUAAGUAAAAAUGGGUAUAUUUUGAGUGUAAACAUAUAUAAUCAAAUAUAAAUCACAAACAUACUCCAAAAAACAAAAAGAGAAUGCUGGAAAGGAGAAAUUAGAAAAUCAUAUUGAAGAGCCUUCAAAGCACAUUAAUAAUAUAAUGAAUGUGAUGUCUAAAUCCUGCCAAGCAACCACAUAGCGGGGAGUUGUCAAUAUUACAUGCACCAUUUGGCCAACAUAUUCCUUAGUUGUCACACAUAUCAGCCGGUGUUCCUAGUAAAACUUCCUAAACUUGGGAUCUAUUAAUCUAGUUGUAGCUUUCACACUCCCGUCUUGUGUCAACACCAGCCUCGAAAGAAUUGAGCUGUUGUGAAGCUUAUAACUAUAAUAGAUUUGAUCCCGAUCAAAAACAAAAUUGUCAUAUAUGUUCGUACGGUUUGGAUUCUGUUCGUGGCUAGAAUUUCCGUUGGGGAUGUUUCCUAGCCGACGAGCACACAACUCCUCGAGAGGUUGGCGUCGGUUGAUGCUUUCUGUCAGGCUUCUGCUCACUGGCGGGCUUGUCGGGCAAAACUUGUCGAGCAAGGCUGAACGAGAAGGACAGAGUUAACUUUGAAAUGUGCCUUUGUGGGGCCUUAGGUGUAGGCCUUGAGGCUCACAAUCAAGACUAACUUUUAGGUGCUUAGGCGUGCCACUGCCACCUUUAGCAUGGCAGAUGUAAAACAGAUUUUGAGUUUUAGUUGUAUAUAUUCCCGAGAGGCCAUGUUAGUUAUGACAGGUGUCUUUGUGGGGCCUUAGGUGUAGGCCUUGAGGCUCACAGUCAAUAACUAACCCAGUACUUGAACAUAUAAUGUUUGUUUCAUUGAUUGCAGAAGUGUUAUAACCAUUAUAGGUCUAAUUACCCGAGCCCGAAGAGCAGAAUGAAUCCAAAUAGGUGCCUUUGCAGGGCCUUAGAUAUAGGCAUUGAGGUUUCCCAUCAAAACUCCUUUUAUACUCAAACGUUCUAUGAUAAUCAUAAUAUAACAUAAAUAAAUCUAAGGGAUAGGUCGAUUACUUGCGCCCCAAGUAACUUCGGACUUCUUGUUUAUCAAGGAUUGUCGUGGAUAGGUUAAGUCCACAUAAGGUUCUUUUUUAUGCCUUGAGACCAAGGAUUUUUUAAUGAUCAAUCUUACAUGCCCGAGAGCUUAGAACUUAGAUCUGAUUUAAACUGUGAAGACACAUUUCAAUCGGAUCUAAGAACUGAGGCGUCUUUUAAUCACCAACUUUCUAGAAAUAACUUGGAUACAACUGAAAGUAUACAACAUAUUGCUGGACUAAUGAAUGAAAAGACAAAAACAAAGAGGGUCGGGCAAGGCUGAUCGUCUUACAACUUCCUAUCUUUGUGAUUUAUCAAGAGGUUUGAAAACUUAGAAAGAGGGAUAGGGAGAUGAGUUUACAGAAGGAAAUCGAUACUACAGCAUGAUUUAGACAAGGUAGCAGAGCUAUUACAAAGGCUUUGGGUGAGGGUUGAUCCCGAAAAAGAUGAAGGCUUGGGCUGACUACAGCUUCGUUGAAGGCAAAUCUGGUUUGAGUAGAGUUUGUGCUUGUAUUUGUUUGUUUGUUUGAGUGUCCUUAUCUCUGAUUUGUCUUUCUUCUUUUAUAGACACUUCGGCUUAGCCUCCUGUAGCAUUAAUCUUACCCGAAUGCAACUUGAAUGGUAGUGACUUAUCAGCUAUUUACUUGUACUGCCACUGUAAAGUACUUUUGGGCUGAUUAGCUUGCUGGUCUACACCACUUGGUCUCUAGGCAGGUGAGCAAGUGGUUCAAAUAGCCUGCACCUAGUCAGAAAAUGGCAUUUCCUGCCUUCUGGGCUUUGGCUGGGCUUCGGGCUUUUCCCCUUCUAGACCUCCUUUCAGGCCAACUCCUUCUUGAGCCCAAAGUUCAAGUUUUAACCCAAACAGAUUCAAAUCAGGCAUCCCACUGAAUCGGAUUCCAUUCCAUGGUCCAGUACGAAGUUUCAUAUCCGAACCCUUCAUGAUUUCCAUCAGUAACAAGUUGGUAAGAGUAAAUUCCUUAAGAAUGAUCCUGGGGACUUUUCCAUGAUGUAAGUUGCCAAUAAAAACCUGUUACCUUGUUCCUACCAAGCUUCAUACCCGGAAUGAGCGUAUCACCCGGGUAAUCAAAACUCUGCCACAGAAAAUUCUCUGGGACAACGUUGCGAUCAUUACCAUCUAUCACAACAAGAUUUCCCGAAUCCAAAAGCCGUGCCACUGGAUUCUGUGUAGGUAUUGAUGUGUUGGAAUACCAAACUAUGUUGUUGUUCUGGUCAACAAGGACAAGAAUCCCAGGGUUGGUGACCUACAGAACACCGGAUGAAGCAGCGAGGGGAAUGUCCCGGUUUGCUACCCAAACAACGGUCAUAUCCGAUGUCUUCUUGUACCAUAUCCCCACGCAGCGUUUAUUUGAAGCAUCGGGACUGAAAAAACCAAGCUCAAAGGUGCCACCAUCUGAGAUUAUGGUCUCACCAUAUGUAAUUGACUGAAAUGUGGUUGCAUCGUUGACUUGUGCUGUGGAAAAUGUUGCAGCAGUAAUGACGAGGAGGAAGAGCAGCAAAAGAUGCAAGCACAUGUUAAUUGGGAUUUUUCUUUGCCUUGGUGGGAUCUGAAAUGUGGUAUAAAGAUAUGAUAUGUCAACAGAGACGUAAUCUAUCGAAAUGAGAGCGAAGUCAAAGAAACCAGAGGAAUCGAAGAGAGAAGAAGCUGCAUAACUGCUUCUUUCAUUCAAUAAUUGGGUCAUGAUUACGUAGCCUUCAAACUAUUUAUAUAAAUACAAUAGGGAGGCAGAUUCUCUGCCCUCCCCGACUUCCCGUGCCCUCCGUACUUUUCUCUUUUGUGUGAUCACGGUUAAGUCACGUCAAUAUUUUAUAUUAUUUUUUUAGAGAGAUAAUAAGACAAAAAUGAAUAGUAAUAUAAAAUGUUGACGUGACAUAACCAUGACCACACAAACAAGAGGGCACGAGAGGGCACAUGAAGUAGGAGGGCAGAGAAUCUACCUCCAUACAACAACAUAACUAACUCAAGACACUCCUAAUGAUACAACGACACCUGACCACUCUUUUGUGUGGUCACGGCUAAUCCCCGUCAAUAUUUUAUAUUUUUUUAUAGAAAGAUAAUAAGAUAAAAAUGAAUAUUAAUAUAAAAUGUUGACGUGGCAUAACCAUGACCACACAAACAGGAGGGCACGGGAAGUGGGAAGACAGAAAAUCUACCUCCAUACAACAUCAUAACUAACUCAAGACAUUCCCAAUGAUACAACGACACCUGACCACUCUUUGCACUUGACACAUGCAUAGCCUAAGCAUUCUUACACUCUGUCAUUCUCCCUCAAGCUUAUGUUGGGAACAACCAAGCAUAAGAUUGGAACAAUUACUUUAGUCUAAAGAAAGGUUUGGAAUUGGUACUUUAGAAAUGAACAGUGUUUUGCACUGAAUUUCAUUCUAUUUACAACUAUGCCACUAUUUUGUUUGUUGACCAAAAUGAGUGGGCUUCGGUGGUGACCAUUGAAUGGGUUAAAGCCCUGAACGUCAAAUGCCUAUUUUACCCUAUCUACAUUCUAAAUCUGAUGGACUGGAUUAGAAAUUGCAUGGGUAUUUGGUCAUUCUCAGUUUGGGAGAGUGGUGGUGUGCCUGGGUUCGAUGGGAUUGAGGGAUUAGGGUGAGGGAUGGGCUAGUGUUGCAGAGGGUGAGGGAGGAAGUUGAGAGAGGUUACCAGACCUGACUGAGUGAGGGAUUUUGUGAGGAUUCCACUGACUUGAUUGACUGAGGAUGGUCUGACAUUCGGUAAGGCAAAAACAGAAAGAGAGAGGCGGCUUGCAGAGGCAGAGAGAGAGGGAGGGGUGGGGGCACUGAAUAGGAGCAAGCAAGGUGUUUGAUGCCUUAUUUUGGCGAUGAAAGGAAGGGUCAUAUGUAGAGAGAGAGGUUUCCUUUCGUGCACAUUACUGGUUCGAUCCGUUUCGAUUGCUUCGACAGCAAGCCGCCACCAUCCCCACCUAGAACAAAAAAUAAACACCUGCCACUGCUUUUCAGCCGUCGUCUCUGGCGAUACAUUCAAAUCUCCGAUCAAAAUAGGUAUUUACUUCCGAUUCCAUUGAUUUCAGAUCGUUCAAAUUUUCAUCAUAAUUCGCAAUCAAUCUCCCAAAUUUGUUGGAUUUAGGGCUUUGUAUUUGAAUUAUUGUUGAAAUUGUGUGAUGGGUUGAAUGCAGAGAGAAACUUAGGGAAAGAUGAGCGACGUAUUCGAAGGGUACGAGUGCCACUACAGUGAGCUCUCCGCCAACCUCACCUACGUUAGCUGGUGCUAUCAAUAGAGGCCAAUUUUUUUUUCUCACUUUUCCUUAUUUAUUUAUUUAUUUUUGUGAAUAUAAUAUAUACAUGUAGUUGCGCUGUAUUUUGGAUGAUUUAUGUUGUAUUCAGUUGUGCUGGUGUCCUCUUCAACGUUUACUUUUGUCUCGAAAUCUUCCGUUCUAGCAAAACCCCCAAAUCUUUGGUUCUCUCUAACUUUCUCUUUCCUUUUUUUUUAGUUGAUGUGUAAUCUCGCGCCGAUGGAUCCCUUCGAUUUGAAAAGGUAUACUAUUGCUACUUCAUUUUGCAACUUUAUUAUUUUCAUUUGAUUUUUAUAAUUUUUUGUAUUUUACUUGCAUUUAAUUUGUUGAGAUCUAUUGAAUUUGGCUGCUUGAGUAAUUAGGGAUUUGGUUCCUUGAGUGUCCUUAGGAGUAGCAGAUUGAAUCGAUGAGAUCAACGGCUUUGCCAUCUAGGAUUUCAAAGUUGUUGCCGGAUUUCCGACGAAUUUCCAACCCAGUUUGUGCGCAUCCUGUCUUCAGAUCAUAGUGAAAUGAGUUUUAUUCAACUCAGGUAUUGUAUUUGAGUUUUAAUUUUGUAUUUUUGUUAAUUUGGACGACACCCUAACAGUUAGGUUUUGCGGUGAGUUGUGGUGCUUUGUUAGGGCUUUCCCAGCUAAAAAGGGAUUUUGCGUUUUGUCUCCUCAGUUGAUAAAUCUGAGAUUUGGCAAUAGCUAGAAUGCCACUGUUACUUAUUGGGUAUGUUUUCCGUCCUACUUUUUCCUAAUUUGAAUAUGUAUUCAUAGUUGUCGGUUUAAAAUGUAUCUGUAGUUUUUGGGAAGAGAUGAUGAAUGAUGGUAUAUGUUCCUUCCAUGUUAGAAGCAUUUCAGGGUUUUAUUUCAUCUUAUCUGCAUGAUUACUUGCCACCACCUCCACUGUUCCUGUAUUUUCUCGAUUUUUUUUUCCUGAACUAGAUCUAUCUGAUUGGUCUAAUUCUUAACUUCUUGUGGUUUAGUCUUAGAUUUUGAAUAUUGAGAAAUUUGGAUCUUCAUGUGAUUUACCAUGCAAGAUAUUGAGUCUGUAUGACAUCAAUGAGGAGAACAUUGAUGGUGUCACUGAUCUUUCUCAACUUUCAACAGUAACAUAACCAUCUCCACUCCAGAUGUAACUACCUAUAUUAGAGUUGCCAAAAGUUUGUUCUUCUCCAUUCCGUUUAUUUGUGAUAUUCAUGUAAUUUCAAAUCCAGCAUAUGGACAUUAGAUGCUAAUAAUUGUGUUGCGUUUAUCUAGAACCUCCCAGGUGUUUAGUGCUCCUGCCUCCACCUUUCUGGAGUUGUUAUUGCGUUUACUUAGUUUGCCUGAGUCGGCAUGAAAUAUCUUAGUUGUAUCUUUAUGAUAUUAAAGUGAGCUUGUUUAUGUGUGUUCAAUUAGGUCUAGGUUUCUUCUUUAUAUAAUGUGGUUGUCACCUUCGUUGGAAUUUCUGAACUUUUUGAGAUGUGAGAUAUCUCAAUAAAAAUAAUGCUCAUCAUAUAACGUGUAAUUUAGUAGAACAAUAUUGAUACUGUUGCUUGAGUUGCGAGCAUUCUGUUUUCCUCUUCUAGAAUUGUGACUCUAGGAGCUUUUUAUGAUUCACCGUUUCUAUUUUGCUUCUGUGAUGAUAUUUGGGUUGAGAUUCCUAUUUCAGUGUUGUUUUCUCCCAUCUCUAUAGGAUCUCUUUGCCACAAUUAAUCACCCCCAAAAAAAUUAUUUGCAUUUGAUUGUUUCCAUCACUGGUCAGCAGACACAGGUUCUGUAGAUCAGUUAGCAUGUUUUGUUCCAAUGUAUUGUCAGGAGCACCUGUUCCUGAGAAGUUGAUGAGUCUACCAUUCAACUUUUAACGUUUUGGAUUUCAAAAGAUUAAUCGACUCCAUAAGCUAUUAAUACAUUGAUUCCAUAGAGACACCGGAGGGUCCUAAUAAAGCGACUCAAUCUGCAAAUGUCAAAUAAAGCAACUUAUAAGUCUUGUAUAUCACUCACCCAACGCAUAUUACUUUGUCUGCAAUGGUACUAAAAUAUUGGUAAACAUCCCAACAGUGUACAUAUUCAAAUAUCUGCCACUUCAAGUCUCUGUGUGUGUUGUUUACCCCAGACUUUGGACAUCAAUUUGGUUCUGUUUUCUUGAUGGUUUAAUGCGUUUUGUGUUGUGUUUUUCGGUCAAUUGACUCGGUUCAUAUGAUUAAUUCCCAUGGUUUCCAUGCCAUAUUGGUUGAAUUUAUUUUAACUAUAUUUAUUUUUGGUGCAGCCAUAUCCUCAUAUAAACAACAAGUGGAAGGUUUACAAGACAUUAACCAAUUAGUUGGGCUAUUAGUUCCUUUACUCUGUGGUGUCCCUGGUGUGAGUGAAAAAAAUGUUCAGGUACUUUAUAGUUAGGAAGAUUUAACGAUGCUUUUUCUAUGUACUUUACUUUAUUAUGUUUUGAUAAACGGAAGUUCAGCAACAGGUGACUGAAAUUAUCACUUAUAUAUAUAGCCUCCACCACAAAGUAAUUUCCUAAGAAAUGUGUAGUACUUUGUCUUCUGGGUUAGUGUUCUCUAAUUUAGAUUAGACAUUAGGGCUUUGAGCUUGGUAAGGUUUCUUUUCUUGAUGCACCUCAUUUUUUUGUUUACUGCUUUUCUUUAUGGAGUUUUUGAUUUACAGAUAAAUUCUACAUUUAAAUUCUAUUUUUGUGAUCCUGCAGAUUUUGUCUCUGUAAUCAGAUGGUUGAUAUCGCUGUCUGAUUUCGUUCUUCUUCUCUUUCAAGAAGCACCGGAGUUUAUUGAAGGUAUAUAAUCCGUUUAGACAUUUAGUUUUCAAUGUAUCAAGUAUUUUGCGUUGUUAGUUUUCUGUUACUUUUGUUGUUACCUGCCUUUUUUGUUCUAUUUUUUUCGUUUUUAUCCGCUUCUCUUUCACUUUUGUGCAACCCAUUGUCCUCGUUUAUAAUCUUACGUUGGAUAAUAUGAUCGCCUAAUGUAUUCUCAAGCAACAUCUUUGGUUUUAAAUUGUUCUAACCAGUUUAAUCUUUAAACUGUUCAAUGUUAACCCCAACAUUUUAUUUUCAUUUUGUACACAUUGGAACCAAACUUAAUUGGUGCUAAAAACGUAUAGAGCCUUUAACUAUACCAUGAAUGCAAUGUUAGCCAAUAAAUAAUUAUAAAAUUAACUUUGUCAUGGGCUAUAAUCAUAUCCAGCAUCGUUCCAUGAUUGUUACCAACCUUUAAAAUCAAAUUUAGCAUCAGUAUGUUUUACCUCUCUGUUUCAAUCUCAACCACUAGCAGCUACAAUUUUGUAUUAAUCACCGUUAUUGAUUGUCUUAACAUAUGAUCAUCAGACCCCAAUAUGUUGACCGUCAUUUUCCCUACCUUAUCGUAUGUGAAACGAUUAUAUUUGCACUCACUUUUAUUCAUUGGAAACAGUAUUUGUGUCUCCGUAUCCAAUCCUUGGUGCAAAAUGUUUACAAUUUGAAUAUGUUUUUCCUACAGCCAAAUUGGAAUCAAUCUGAAAGAACUGCGUCUAUUUGCGGUCUUCAAGGUAUAACAUUGAUCACUCUCAACUUUUCAUUUCUUUUUCAACAUUUUUUCCUUUUGCAUUUCUAAAAAAAACCUUUAUUCAAUAUAUACUGAUAUGGUCACUUAUAACAUAAAAAAACUUCAUCUUUUUUGUCAAUAUUUAAGUUUUUCUUAUUUUUCUUCAUGAACCAGGUCAGCCCAUAACUCUGUAACCAUCCACAUAUAUAACUUAUCCAUUUUUAUCAUUGUGGUAUCAAUACAAAUUUACUCUUCUUUUUUGAGGUGGGAUUGGUCCUAAAACACAGGAACCAGAAUUUAAUUGAUCCCAUGCUUCUCCUUAGUUUUUUACCUAUUUUUUCAUUUUUUUUUCUCGCAUCAUUCUAUCUUUCAUGAUUAGGUUUAGCACACAGUUUUUAGACCUCUUAAACCCUAUUCGUUUUAAGUGUUUUGCUUCAUUAUUUAACAUUCAUUUGGAUUUGUGAUUGAAAUCAACUUGGUCAGGUUUUCAUUACAUGCAAAGCAUCUUUAGAGUAAUGCCUUUAAACUGUGUCAAUUUUUCAUUGAAAAUUCUUGAGAACCUUAUUCAGUAUUUGGCGAUUAAAUGAAACAUCAACACAAUUUCCCUCGCUUUGACCGAUUCUCUGUGAUUAAAGUCUGGAAAAAUACAGUGAAAAAAUGCAACCUUUUUAUGGGAUUGACAAUUUUCGGCUUGGUUUUGGCUAAAAAAAAAAUAGAGUGUAACUUAUUAAGUUGAGUUAACAAAUUUGCAGGAUGCAACAGAGAUCAUAGGACAAGUUUUCAAACGAGUUAAGAAGAUCCAGCUGAAAAGAGCAUACAAGAUAGAAAACGGGUAUGCUGCUUUGUCUUUGUGUUGGAUUUUGAUGUUUAGGUUCUGCUGCUCAGUAGACUUUAUAGUGUUCUAAAUCUGUUUUGUAAAUGUGCUAAAAGAUUGGACAUGUUAUUGAAUAUUAGCCAUGUAGUUUGAAUUGGAUAUGUGAUUGAAUAUUAGGUAUUGAGUUUGAAUUGAUUUGGAUAUGUGGUUUAUUGAAUUGGAAUUUGGAUAUGUGCUAAUUUGAAUUGGAUAUGUUGAAUUAGAGAUGUGCUACUUUGAAUUGGAUAGGUUGAAUUAGAGUGUGCUAUAUUGAUAUAUGAUGAACUGAUGGUUACAGAACACACGCACACACUCACCAGUCAUCACAUACUCUGGGUCUGCAUAACCAUAGAUUCCCAUGACUCACGUCGAAACAUGAGUUUUAUCACCCUUAGGACCAUCUUUCGCAAGUUCGAAAUCUGAAAGCUUGGCAUUGUAAUCCUAAAAUAACUCAUUCAUUUAACACAUAUGAAAAUUAUGCAUUUUCAUAAUUAAAAUUUUAAAUUGUCAUCAUUCUGUUCAAAUGCACCAUUUCCUUUUUGUUUCCCUUCUCUCAUCUUGUAAGCACUCAUGGUGUCCAUUUCCUUUUAAUUUCGGUUAAUGCAGGUUUUGAAAUUUGUGAUAAUCAUUUUCAAAUUUCUAUAAAUUUUGAGAGAAAAAGGCAUGUGAAAAAGCACAUUAGUCUCUAGGUGUAAAUCACGUUAGUCUAAUAAUGGCUAGGAUAAAAAACCAUGUCAUAAACUGUGGCUUGGUUACACUGCAAUUUCAAUUUGGGAUUUGAAUUUAUUUACAGAAUUACGAUCCUUUUUAAAAUUUAGAAAAGAGCAUGUUAAAAGACCAAUUUUCUUUAUAGGAACUUGAAUAAAAAGUAGGCCAUGAGUGUAAACCAACCAGCAAAGAUUAUGGUGAUUCACUAAUUUAAACAUAAGCCAGCUUUGAGAAUCAUGCUCACCCAUUGUCGGUUUUCCUUGCGAGCAUAUUUCCUACCCAAAGUUUCCCAAACUGUGUUCUCAAACCGCUGCAUCGACAUAUCUUUCCAACUUCUAAUGGUCUUUGGUGCUAGAACAUCUUCUAACUUCAUUCUAAAAAAAUUGAUUCAUAAGUAAAGACACCUAAAAGCAACUAAGUAAACAGUUUAAUCAAGAAGCAAUUCAGAAGUAGAACCAAAUAAGCCACAGUCCAACUUUCGCACACCCUCCGGCGUAAUUUAAUAUCAGAAACCGUCUCCUGAAUUCAAGUUUGCCUAGAGCUUCUAAUUGUGUGUGCCCAUCGUGUCUUUCUUGGUCUACAGCCAAGGACUGAUUAGUGAGAGCUUCAAAAAUAGAUAGUUAUCACAAACAAACAAUUGAUCACGAUGAUGUUUUUUGUAAUUUGGGUUUAUAGUGCUUCUAAAUGCUGUUUUAAUUGAGUUUUCUGUGUUUGGUCGAUUUGUUGUUGCGGAUGGGUGAUAUGUUUUUUUUUUUCUUUCAGUUAGGAAACGGAGCCUUUCAGAGUUUGUAAUUUUUUUUUUUGGGGUUUUUUCAAGCAGCUGUGUUAAAGGUAUAUGAUGUGUUUUUUUUCUUUUUGCUUUAUUCUUGCUGAUUUGGGAUGGUUUUUACAUUGUAUUUUUGUUAUAAGUUUGUUGUCCCAUUUUUGUGAUGGACUUGGAAUGAAAUGGGAUUGGCGGGUGAUAAAAAUUUCUAUCUAGCUAGGGAAAGGUCACAAUGUUCAGAUUUUGCAGGCGGGAUAUUAGGGUGAGGGAAAAAUGGGAAAGAGAGCAUGGAAGACAAAUUUAGGAAUAGAGAUAGGAAAACUACUCAAAAGAUUAUGACAGAGGAAUGGGUUGGGUUAAUUUGGAAUUUUUUUUUUUUUGACUGAUUUGGGAUAUUUUUUUUUUUUUUUUUUUUUUUGCUGUGAUUGCCAAGUCAGCUUGAAAGAGAGCAAUAACCAAAUUAUUCGAAGAUAGGUUCUUUACAUAAUUAGGUUCAUGCAUGUAGCUGAUCUCCUUCUCCAUGCAUAUGGAAAGGGCCUGCUCAUACUCUGUCAGUCAGGAUAUUGUACUGACAUUAAUUUGCAAAAAUAGUGUCUUUAUGUUGUUAACGGUGUCUCCGUUUGGUUGAACACUAUUAUGUGAUAUGCUCCCUCUGUUUGUAAAGCAAAAUAAACUGGUUGGAGUAUCCUCUAAUAGGCUCCUGCAAUCUUUUAAUGUGCUCUUGCAAUCUUUUUAAUUACUCUGUUAUUUCCUUUAGUUAUGGGUAUCUGACAUUCUGUUUUAUUUCUAUAUAUGUUGUUCCAAUGGAAUCAAGUGCCAAAAUUAUAACAAACAUCCUUUAGUCAAGUUGGACACUUUUCCAUAUAAUGUUUGGUUCAGGGAUCCUCGUACAAACAUAAUAUUCUUAUGUAUUUCAAUCAGACUUGACCCUCAUGGUUUAAUAUGUGUAAACUGAAGCUUGGUUCUGUUUCUUCAGUUUCGUAUGGAAAUAGACCACCUGUUUUUUUUGCCUUUCAACAGUUGUGGUUCCAAAAUUAGCAACUUGAACAAGUUCAUAACACUUUCUGUUUCAAAUUACCUGUUGAACUAGUUGCCUACACUGCAGGACACAUAUUAUAUGUGUGAACUAUAUGUUUCUUCUGUUUCUUAAGGAAACAAUUUUUUUUGGAAACCAUCUCUUUCUAAUCAAACACGUACAGUUUCUUCUCACUCAUUCUGCAAUUUGUUUAUAUGCUAACUCACUUAAAUGUGUACAAAAGCAAAAAAAUUUAUCUUACCGGCCUCAUUCAUUCAUGUAUCUCUCUGUUUGUUCGUAAUUGUCUUAAAUUUAUUCAACUUAAAUGUGUUUUAUCCAUCUGAUUAUGUCUGAACCAGCUGGUUCCCGCAGCAACGCGUGAGCGUAAUUUCUAGUGAACAUUAAACAGAAGAGAACACAAUUCUUUUGUGAAAAUGUCUGCAUACUGAUCUGUAGAAGCUACAAAAUGUAACAAAACAGUCCCUUGUUGAACUCUUUCACGUACAAAAUAACAGUCAGUUUCAAUAUGCUUGGCCUUGGAGUGCAAUACUGGAUCCAUUGCUAAUGCCAUGGCAGAAAUGUUAUCACAGUGAAGUAAAGGAGUAUCAGAACUUACAAUGUGUAAGUCCUUGAGUAGCUGUUGAAUCCAAACAAUUUUUGGAGUAGUAUUGCAUUCCUUUUAUGAAUUCUCCCGUUUGCUGAAAAAAGAAGGAAAAUUUGAUCCAUAUACUUGUUUAUAUUUUUUUUCAAAGUUUAAAACCUUUUUGUUGCUGUAAUAUUGUAUGAAGUUAUGAACUAUACCUCAAAUCCAAAGAAAACGUGAAUAAAAACAGUAAAGGCUUGGAAUCUCUCAUAUUUGUGUUCAAUUCUAAGAAGUUAUAUGCACCAACACGAAAUAUAAAUUACGACAUAUCAUUUAUUUCUUGCCUUGAAGAAGUUGUAGUAAAAUCAAGGAACAAAACAACGAGGGAUAGGUGUGCGGAAAUCAUUUCCCGUAUAUUAUCGAGCCUCAAGUACUGAAAUAGUGACUUCAUUAGCUGAGCAUGCUUUAGAAGAAUGACUGGCUUCGAGUUCAGUCAAAUCCCUUUCACUAUAAAACCCAGGUUUCAAAGGUUGAGGCAAUGCACCUUCACCACUCAACAUUAGAACUGCAGCUGACAUGCUCGGCCUGUCCUCUGGAUUCCGCUGCACGCACAAAAGACCCACAUGAAUUGUUCUUACAACUUCAAACAGAGUGAUGGAGUCCUCUACCGAUGUAUCAAGUAGUUCGAGAGGCCUGCCUUCUGUGUGUAGCAUCCAUGCCUAAAACACAAAAACUAGUCUACUUAGUAGAAGUAGCAGAGUUGAGUGAUAAGAAUUUUAACUUGACAUUUGAUGCUGUCACGCUCACAUGUCCAAGAAGGUUGAGUUUGUGGUCUGGAUGAGAGAAUCCUCUAUUUUUGCUCCCACUCACUAUCUCUAGCACCAGAACACCAAAGCUAUAGACGUCGGACUUUAUAGAGUAGAAACCAUCAAUUGCAUAUUCUGGGGACAUGUAACCGCUGCAAACCAAUGUGUCAGAAAAACAUUUUUAUACGCAAAGAAUCUAGUCUUUCUGUUAAUGUUUUCAAAAAAUCUUAAAAAACAGUCAUACAAUUGUGUUUUAGGAUACUUACUAUGUUCCAACCACUUUCUUCGUCUCUGCUUUCGUUUCAUUUCCUCCGAAGCUUCUAGCCAAGCCAAAGUCUGAGAUUUUCGGGUUAAAUUCACGGCCUAAUAAAAUGUUACUUGCUUUGAGAUCUCUAUGAAUAACUCUCAAUCUAGAAUCUUGAUGAAGAUAGAGGAGCCCUCGAGCUAUCCCAUUAAUAAUUUCAAAGCGCUUCGGCCAGUCUAAUAACAUCCUUCUUCUUUGAUCUGCAAAAUAUCAUAAUUCACAAUUGUCAAAAAAUACAUCGUGCUAGGCUGCUAGCAUAAGCGAACUAAUCGAACUAAAUGCAAGGUUUUUGAGUAGUCAAACCGAAAAUAAAAAAGUCUAAGCUCUUGUUAGGCAUGAACUCGUAGAUCAGUAUCAUCUCGUCUUCUUGAAUGCAGCAUCCAAGAAGCUUCACUAGAUUCCUAUGUUGAAGUUUGGCAAUAUGUGUAACUUCAUUCUUGAACUCGUCGAGUCCUUGUCUAGAACUUUUUGAAAGCCUUUUCACAGCGAUUUCUUGUCCAUCUUCCAUCGUACCCUGAAAUCCAACAGCAUAUGUUAUGACCAAAAUUCAUGCUUUGUGGUUUGCACACUACUUGUAUCCAUCAUUCCAUAUUUUGACCACAAGUACAUGUAACUAUACAACUUCUACAACUUCAAAACUAUGAAGGACUCUCUGGUUUUACCUUAAAGACAGAUCCAAAACCGCCUUCACCAAGUUUGUUUUCAAUUGAAAAGUUACCGGUUGCAGAAACUAUAGUCAUCAAGUCAAAUAACGGUAAUUCCAAAUCCUCCUUUUGGUUGUGUCCCAGUUUUCCUGUAAAGACACAGUGACGGGUGAAAAAAACUCCCUAUACUACUGAACUAUGUAGUUUGGAAAGCAGAGGGGCAAAAUAGUACGGCCAACUUACCAACUUUUUGGUGCUGCUUCUUCCAAACAAAAAACAGCAGGGCAAGGCCCAAGAGCAGCAGUCCGGUAGACAACACAGUAGUGCUUAUUAUGAUUUUCAUUUUCUUUGCAUUGGAUUCAGAGUAUUUAGCGUUGAUCUUUGCAUCAUCUUCAUAAUCUACAAAUGAUAUUUUGAAGACAGAAAAUCUAUGAGUCGGAAAGUAAUAAACAAAAAAAAUAAAAACUGUAUAAUUUCUAUCAUCCAACUAAUAGUUUCUAGUUUGUGAGACAAUUCUAAAAGAGGAUAUUGCUUAUGGUGUCAAAAUUCGAAGUUAUAACUAUUAGAAUUAGUAUAAUGUUUCACUUCGUUAUGUCUUGACUUUGUUUCGAGCAUAUGAUUAUGAAUUUAUGACUGAAUGCAAAGUCACCAACAGGUGUUUUUUACAUACCUAGUUCUGCUGCGGCCAUUCUUAUAUAAAUAUCUUGCCCGUUUUCGGAAUAGUAUCUUAUAUCAAUCAGACCGCCGUACCACAGCAAGCACCCAGUUCCUCCAUCCCGAAUAUCCAAAUUUGUAUAAGCCGUGCAGGAGCAGUUCUUCAUGCACACCAUCUGGCAUUCCUUGAGGUUCAUACUUCUGUUAAACCAGGAUUGUUCUGUGCUAGGCAAUUUCAAACCCGAGUACUUUUGGAACACGUCUCCGGUGCAAUUUAGAGAAGUCUUUCUCACACAACCAUCAGACCAAUCUACCAAAUCCCAUUCUUUCGGAAACUUUGGUGUAAAUCCUUUCAAACAGCUACAAACCGGGGACUUUUCAAUGUUACAUGCACCAUAUACACCACAGAAUGCAUAGUUGUCACAGUUAUCAAUCUGGGCUGUUAGGUAAAGAAACCAAUCUUUGGUUCUAUCAAUCCAUGUGUAGCGCUGCACAAGUCCAUCUGAAGUUAACACCACCCUCGAAAAGAUUGAGCUGUUGUGAAGCUUGUAACUGUAGUACAUUUUAUCCGGCUCAGAAACAAAACCGUAUGUGUAUAUUGGGUUUGGAUUUAAAUGAGGCGUUCCACUGAACCGGACUCCAUUCCAUGGUCCAGUCCGAAAUUUUAUGACCGAACCGUUGCUCACAAAUAUUUCUUGAUAUCCUUUGGGACCAAGUUGAUAUGUAUAAUUGCCUUGAGAAGGAUCCUGAGGACUUUUCCAUGAUCUAAGAUGGCAAUUGAAGCCUGUAACUGUGUUCCUACCAAUCUCCAUUCCUGGUAAGAAUGUAUCGCCAGGGUAAUCAAAACUUUGCCACAGAAAGUUCUCAGAGUCAUCAUCACUACUAUCUAUCACGACAAGAUUACCCGAAUCCAAAAGGCGUGCCACUGGAUUCUGUGCAGUUCUCGAUGUGUUGGAGGACCAAACUGUGCUCAUGUUGUGGUUGAGGACAAGAAUUCCGGGGCUGGUGACCUUCAAAACGCCGGACAAAUCAGCGAGGGGCUUGUCUCUGUUGGCAAUCCAUACAAUGGUUGUAACAGAUAUCUGCUUGUACCAUAUCGCCACGUACCGUCUAUUAGAAGCAUCAGGAUACUUGUAAAAUCCUAGCUCAAACGUACCGCCAGUGGAAACUACAGUCUCACCGUCUCUAAUGGACUGAAAUGUACUUGUGGCGUCAUCAGCUGUGGAGAAUACUGCUGCGACGAUGAGCAGCAAAGAAGAGUAGAAAAGAAGCAAGCACAUCUUAGCCGAAGCUUUUGACGGAUUUUUCGUAAUGUGAUUUGAAUGUUUGUCUGUCAUUUGGACACCUUAUUGAAAUAACAUUGAUACCAUUUCGUGCAAGCAACCAAUCAUUUUCAAGUUCAAAAUUGUUGAAUAGUCGGGUGCGUGGGAAGACAAAUUGUUCUCCAAAGUGUGAAACUGAGAAAGUUGUCUUCAAUCCGAAGUAGACUUCGCAUUCAGUUAAGAAUGAUGUUGUCGUAGCCGGAUAUUUCACUAUGACAACUAAGACGUUUUCAUCCAGUAGAAAAUAUCCGAAUUAAUAUGUGGUCAUAUACAGUUCCCUCGGCUCAAAGGAAACUUAAAUGUCUGAUUGGUGUACUCUUUCGCAUUAGUCUUGUAUUCGAUAUCGUUUUCUUUCCUUUUCAAUUCUUGUAAUUCAAGAUUAAUCCCAAUCUAGAAAGUUUGAAUAAGAGCGUCUUCGGUGGGCGAUAAUAUUCCCUAUAACUGGUUGUAUGCUCAUUGUGUCUAUCUCCCAAAUCACGUUAAUUUUUUUCAUUUCAAAGUCAAUAUGUUACACAUGUAAUGGAUUAAUUUGGUACCCUGUCAUUUUCUCUAGUUAUAUUUUGGCGGGACUUGUUCAGAAUGAUUCCAGGACGACUGACUUCUAUUUCUUAUGCCGCUGUAUCUACCAUUCCCUGCGGAUUUUCUUGGUUGCUGAUUCUUGGUUGCUGAUUAAGUUGUGCACAAAAGAAAAAAACCAUUAGCUCAUACCAUACUGCAGUAAACAUUAGGAAAUACAGUGAACAAUCUGUUGAAUCCAAAUCACAGUAAUUCGAAUGUACUAUCUACUCAAAUUGAAUUCCUCUCCAAUCGAGUCGCCGUUGAUAUCAGAGCAAAGCAUAUGUAAAGCAAGAAAAUGUAUAAGCAGGAUUACCCGAGAAAUAUCUGAUCAACUUAACUCACUUCAAUAGACAUCAGAUCAAGUUAUGAUGAAAUAAACAGCAACAUGAAAUAUGAACUAUCGAGCCUCGAGUAGGGUAAAUGUGUCUUCAUUAGCUGAAAAAGUUGUAACCUUGUUUGCACAAGGAUCGACUUUGUUGUCAUCUAGAUCCCUUUCACUAUAAAAACCAGGUUUUUCAAGUUCAGGCAAUGCACUUUCACCACUCAACAUCAGAACUGCAGCUGGCAUGCUUGGCAUUUAUGCCGGAUUUCACUGCACGCAUAAAAGACCCACAUGGAUUGACCGCAAAACUUCAUGUGGAUUACUGGAGUCUCCUACUCAUGUAUCGAGCAUUUCAAUGGACUUGCCUUCUGUGUAUAAAUUCCAUGCCUAAAAGAUCACAACCACCAAUCGUACUGAAUAAAUAGAAGUAUAGAGAAUCAAGUAAAAACAAAUAAUAAUGCUAGACAAACCACAUUUUAGAUCUUAAGUGGAAUCGAAUCCAUUUUUUACAUGAAUUGUCGUCACCAGUUGUUAAUAGAGAAGUCACUGUCACAGUAGUACUUCAUUAGCUGAUGCAGUCAGAAUAUAGUCCCUCUAGUAUUAUUCGACGAAAAAUGAUCAACUUGACGGCUGACACUUACAUGUCCAUGCAGGUUGAGGCUGUGGUCUGGAUGAGAAAAUCCUCCGUUUCUUUUCCCUUCACUAUCUCAAGCACCAUAACACCAAAGCUAUACAUGUCAGAUUUUAUCAAGUAGAACCCAUCGAUCGCAUAUUCUGGGGACAUGUAACCACUGCAAAACAAUGUGUCAAAACCUACACUUUACAAGCAAGGUAUAUAGAAUGUCUGAUUGUACUUUUACAUUUCUUACUAUGUUCCAACCACUUUAUUUGUCGCUGCUGUAGUUUCAUUUCCUCCAAAACUUCUUGCCAGGCCAAAGUCUGAAAUUUUGGGGUUAAAUUCACCGUCUAAUAGAAUGUUGCCGGCUUUGAGAUCUUGAUGAAUUACUCAGAGUCUAGAAUCUUGAUGAAGAUAGAGGAGCUCCUGAGCAAUCCCAUCAAUAAUGUCAAAACGCUUAGGCCAAUCUAUAAGAUGCAGCAUCCUAGAAGCCUCACUAGAUUCCAGCGCUGAAGUUUGGCAAUAUGUGUAACCUCAUUCUUUAACCGGUUGAGUCCUUGCCUCGAAUGUUUCGAUAGACUUUUCACAGCUAUUUCUUGUCCAUCCAUCAGUGUACCCUGAAAUUCAUCAGCACGUAUCAUGAUCAAAAUUCAUACUACUAGCUAACUGUAUCUGUUACUCCUCCUAAAGUGACAUGCUCAAAUGUCAAGCUAAUUGUCGUGCGGACUGUGAUUUCACCUUAUAGACAGAUCCAAAGCCACCUUCCUCAACUUUAUUGUGGUUUGAAAAAUCAUUGGUAGCACAAAUCACAGUGCCCAAGUCAAAUAAUGGUAACUCCAGAUCUUCCCUUUGGUCCGAUCUCGGUUUUCCUGCAAAGCACAUAGUGAAGUAAAUCGUGUACCAUGGAACUGAACUUAGAAAACGGAGGGGUAGAAGAGUAGAAACUCAAAUAGCUUACCAUCUUGUUGGUGCUUCUUCUUCUGAAAACGUAAGAGGAGGGCUAGGCCCAGGAUUAAAAGUCCAGCAGACAACACAGUACUGGUUACUACGAUUCUCGUUUUCUUCACUUUGGAUUUUGCAUUGUCUGCUUGAAGUGGUAAUGAAGUAUUUGAAAGAAGAAAAUUAAUAAGGAAUUAUAAAGAAGAAUAAACACCACCAUACCUGGUUCAGAUGCAGCCAAUCUUAUGUAUAUAUCUUGCCCAUUUCCAUUGAAAGUUCUUGAGCAGCCACUUCCUCCUGCCCUGAUAUCCAAAUUUGCAAAAGCUGUGCAGGAGCAGUUUUCAGUGGAGUCAUUCUCAUACAGGCAUAUGUUGCACCCCGAAAGGCCCAUUUUUGUUGAAAAUUUGGUCUAAAUCCUUCCAAGCAACCACAUAGCGGGGAGUUAUCAAUAUUACACGCACCAUUUGGCCCACAUAUUCCAUAGUUGUCACAUGUAUCAGCCGGUGUUCCUAGUAAAACUUCCCAAACUUGGGCUCUAUUAAUCCAGUUGUAGCUCCUCACACUCUCGUCUUGUGUCAACACGGGAAAUGCCCAAUUCUCAAAUAAAAUUGCUUAAAGUUCUGCAAAAUGAAGACUACAUGUUACAGCAUCGACCAGAAACACUCGUCCAAACACUAAACCAACCUUGCAACCAUAUUUCUUCCAAGUAUAUUGUCCAAACGGGGUAGUCUUUGCUCAUACAGAAGAUUGAAAAUCCUUAAACACACUCGAUGCAGCGACGAACGAUUACUGUCUCCAUUAAGAUUUAUGCAACUGUUAAAAUGUUGGGAUUGUUUCAAAAAUUGCAUUACUUUUCUCCGCAAUUUACAAACAAGCAAAUCAUAAGUGACAAGAGCCCAUAAGACCAAUUGGCAACAAUUUGCAAUCCAGAUUUUUAGCUUCAUUUAUUGUUACCCAUCAACUAACUCAAUUCAAAAAGUGGAAAAAAAAACUGGAACAAUUUGUCCCAGACCCUGCGUAAAGCGGGAGCCUUGUGCACUGGGUACGACCUACGACGACUUCCAUCUAAUAAAUAUAGAAAUGGUUCAAGAACACGGGCAAUGCCCAAUUCUCAAAACAAACACAGAAAUAGAGAGAGAGAAAGAGAGAGAGAGAGAGAGAGAGAGAGAACUGACCUUUAUUGGUAGAAAAUGUUGCAGAAGCCAGCCAACCCAGAAGAAAGUUAAUUCAGGGGAAGAUUAUCGUCACCAGAUGUUAAUAGAGAAGUCACUGUCACACACUGUAUAUCAUUAGCUAAUGCAGUCAGAAUAUAGUCCCUCUAGCAUAAUUCGACGAAAAAUUAUCAACUUGACAGCUAGCACUUACAUGUCUUAGCAGGUUGAGGCUGUGGCCUGGAUGAGAAAAUCCUUUGUUUCUCUUCCCAUUCACUAUCCGAAAGCUGUGCUGCUGGAUUCGACGCAGAUGUUGGUGUGUUCGAGGACCAAACGCUUGUCUUGUUAGUAUCAACAAGGACAAGAAUUCCAGGGAUGGUGACCGUGAGUAGACCUGAUGAAUCAGUGGUGUGUCUCGGUUGGCUACCCAUACGAACUUUUUUACUUGAUUGCUAGAAUGGGACUUACAAUUACAAUUAACCGAGUGUUGACUGGCCAGCAUGUCCAGGUUCGGUUAGACUUAACUCCAUAUCAUGAGUAGCUGUCCAACCAAGUUCAUAGGCUUCAAGGAAACCGAUCUUUGCCUUGUCGGGGAGAUCAUGGGAAUGAACAAAUGGCACCUCGUUUGGCCACCCAAUCUCCAUUCUUAUAUUGGCACAGGGGCUAUCAAGUGUCUGAAUGUGAUUCUCACACUUCUUCAGGUUGCAGAACCUCAGCUUGAUUCCCUUCUUGUCUGCAAUGUCUUGAACCCUUUCCUGGACUCUCUGGGCCUCGACCCACAAUCUCUUGGAAGGUGGCAGAGGUUUGGUUCUUUCACUCUUUCUCCUCCUCAACAAAGGCUUCAUAGAUCCUGUACCAGCAUUUCAUCGAUCCAAGGACCUGCUGUUAAAAGCUUCUCACAUAAGAGAUACACAUAAACACGUGCAAUCCAAUAUCAAGAGGACUCAAGAGACGGAUAUAAUUUUUAGAAGAUAAAACUAGAUUGAGGAUCCUUGUUACGACAGCAGAAAUGCGAAAACUAUUAAGUAGUUGAUGAUUACUAUCAAUAGAGUUGGACUUAAUUUAGCUUAUACAUUGAACUUAUUUUUGGUGUGUGCAUGUGCUUCAGUCAGUAAGACCAAUCCUAAUUAAAGUAAGCUGUCAUUAAAAAAAUUGCAUUCAUGAAAUCAAUUUACAGUAUGUAACAAGCAGGCAAUUGGUAAAGAAGAUUAAAUGCAGCAUACCAUCUUGUGCUGCAUGGAAAUUGGAACUUUGGAAAACUGUGUCUGUUAAAGAGUUGAUUGGUGGGGUGAGAUCUCUGCAUAAAGUCAUCAACCGCUACUGGAAGCUGGAACUGAGCUUCAACCCCAUGACCAGCAGCUCUCAUCUCUGAACAACUAAGAUUGGUCAUGGAUUUAGGCAUGAAUUUAAAAAGCCACAAGAAAUCGCCCAAACAAGUUGCUCUGUGUAUUAGCAGUCUCCAUUCUCUGCAGUGCAGGGUUAACAUAUCCUGCAGUUGCCUGAUAGAGUGUGAGUCCAGGGUAAACAAUAGCUUCUUGAGGACCAAGAUCUUCGUCCACAAGAACCCAACGACCCUGAAAGUCCUUUAUGUGUAGACCAGCCUUGCCUGACUUGACAAGAGAUAUCAAGCUUUUGUCAACUUGAUGCUCAUGGUCAGAAAACAUAACCAACUGGCCAUCCUCUUGGGUCGUAAAACUAUGGUGUUGUGUAACCUGAAAUGAUGGCCUUGCAUGACAACAGACAGAUAAUACUGAAGAAGAUAUUUACCUGUUUCUUAAGGGAACAUUAUCAAGUACGUCAGUAAAUGGUGAGCUCCUCAAGUUCAAAUAGAAGCUGAUAGCGUGCAAUAUAUCUCGAGCUGCCAUUGCAAGCAGUGAAAAUAUAUCUGGUAAAGCUGCUGGAGGAAAUUCCAUUGUGUUGUCGGGCUCUAAAGGAGUGAAUCCAGGUCUGUAAUCAUAGGUUUCUAGCCACAAUUGAGGAUCUGCAUUAUAAUCGGAAGUCUUGCACCAGUCACGGGGAUCAUUGUUAUUAACCAUAUCUGCAGCUGGGUAUGAUGCUUUCUGGUGGAAGUAGAGGCGAGCCGAAUCUAAACCCGACCUCAAAAGAGCCCCAUCACUCACUGGAAAACUGAAUGAUGGCAGCAGAAUAGAGUGCUAGUGAUUGUGACAAAGUCGAAACAGAUAGUUUGUAAGAAUCUGAUGGAAGGCCUUCACCAGGUGCCAGAUCAGUUAGCUUCACACGACCUAGAGAUGGCAGGCCAUUACUUGCCAUGAAACCCUUUGGGUAUACUUGCUACCUAAUUUUGAAGAGAGGCACAGGUUACACUGACAAACUCAAAAUUAAAAACUGAAACAGCAUAAUCAUUCAUCAAUCAGAAUCUCUCUCUUUUUUUCUUAUGAGAAUUUAGGAACUCCUUGACCCCUAAGUUGAAGCCACAAAACUGAACCAUCUACGUACUGCAAGAAGAAAGUAUAUGAAGCAUAAAUAUAUACGUACAAAUACAUGUGUGUACAUUAUGAACAUUUUAUAUUGAAAAAGUGCUCUCCUAAGGUCCUUAAAAAGUCAAGCUGCUCAACUAUUGAUCGUCUAUGUACGCUAGAAAUGCAAGAUCUAUGAUACGUUGCAUGCCGAGGGGACAUUUGACCUAUGUAUAGAUAAAGUUAGAAGCUAAGUUUUUCCAAUUACUAGUAUGAGCAACAACAACAACAACAACAACAACAACAAAGCCUUUCCCACUAAGUGGGUCGGCUAUAUGAAUCCUUAGACGCCAUUGCGCUCGGUUUUGUGUCAUGUCCUCGUUAGAUCCAAGUACUCUAAGUCUUUUCUUAGGUCUCUCAAAGUUUUCCUAGGUCUUCCUCUACCCCUUCGACCCUGAACCUGUCCCGUAGUCUCUCCUACUUACUCGGAUAUCCUCAUUCCCAAUUAUCCUUUCUCGUUGCCACACAUCACGAAGCAUCCUCAUUCCGCCACACCCAUUUUGUGUACGUGUUGAUGCUUCACGCCCAACAUCUGUGCCAAUACAACAUCGGCCUUAUUGCCUCCUAAAUUUUCCUUGACUUCAGUGCCUACGACGGUCACACACAGCCGGGAUGCACUCUACACUUCAUCAUCCAGCUUGUAUUCUAUGGUUGAGAUCUCAUCUAAUUCUCUCGUUCUCUUUGCACGAUAGUCCUAGUAGCGAAACACGCUUUUUGGUGAUCUUCGCUAGAUUGCUCCGGUCAUUAGUGGGUAAGUAUAUAAAUGGAUAGAGACAAGAAAGCAAACACAAGAUGUACGUGGUUCACCCAGAUGGCUACGUCAGAAAUAGAGGGAUUCUCAUUAAUUGUGAAGGUUUACCAAGUACAUAGGUUCAAGCUCUCCUUUAGUGAGUACAAGUGAAUGAUUAGUACAAAUGACAUUGGGAAAUAUUGUGGGAGAAUGAUCUCGUAAUCACGAACUCUAAGUAUCGGAACGUAUCGUCUUGAUUGCCUUAUCUGUCUCAUAGGUAAUGUGGCAUCUUCUCUGGAGUACUCUUCUCCAUCCAGGGUUGUAUCUUAACUAGUGGAGAUGACAAGGUAAUGUAUCAAUUUCACUUGAAGCUUACUUGUAGUUUCAGGUUGGUCAGCGCGAUACAAACCAUGUAGUGGAGUCCCCAAGUCGCCGAGCUAGAGGAUCUGCUAAAAGAGGUGACAGACAAGGUAAGCAAUCAGAGCUCGGCUGAUUGUUCACUUCUCCCUAUCUUGCAGGCAGCAUGAAGGAUAAAGAGAAGAAAUGAGAAGAGAUUGAUAUGGGUACUUUGCUUUUGAAGAAGUAACUUCCAACAGGCUUAUUCUUGAACUGAGCUGGAGGGUUUUCUGUUUCCUCCGAGUAUAAGGCCGACUGAAGGAUUUGAGGGUCAAACAAGUCCAUCAAAUCUAGAGUACGUUCGACCCCUGAUAUGGGAUACUUUGCUUUGACAGAGUAUGGAAUGAUGGCACGUGUUGCUGUUCGCUUGUCUCCACAUGCUUCCUUGUAUCCUUCUCCCUUGCCCUAGCUGUUCCUCAGGCACGAUUGCGGUAUCUUCCUGGAAGCAUAAGAUGUUGAAGAUGUACUCGAGGCAAUGGGUAAGUAAUAGGUAAGGGGUUCUAGGCAGUCAGUUCCUGGCUGGAAGUUUGAUUCCAAGUGCUGACUGAUUGCUCUCUUCUCCUUGUUUGCAAUAAGAACAAGGCAAAGGAAAAGACAGGGAAAAAGCAUGAUAUGGGAUACUCUUGCUUUUUAACCCUGAUGAUAUGAAUAUCUUGCUCUAGUAUAGCUUGUUUGCAGAGAUAUUAUCGCGGGGAAAGAAGCUGAUAUUCGAAAGGCGUUGGGUGCCCCAUAUGAGGAGGGUUGAGCAUUUUUGCAGGUCUGCCUGUCGUUGGGGAUGGAGGUCGACAUAUAUAGAGUCUCCUUAAAACAAGUAAUAAUGCUAUUCCGUUUCCUACUUGGUCAUAGCCAGGGGGGCUCCAGCGUUCACAUGUUUUAAUUGUCAGAGCACUUUGAAAGUGGUUUGUGGUAUUGGAAAGGUGAUGUUGCAUGUGAAGUUACAGACAGCUUUAUCCCCAAGGAGUCGGCUCUUGAAGUUGGGAAAGUUUGCCUCUUGUUUUCGAACAAGCAACUCCUUGGGGUCUGGCUCCGAGAUUCGGAGACGAUGCCUCUUCGAUUUGAGAAAGCAAUCAUGCUGGGGGGCUCUCGAGAUUCGGAGAACGAUGCCUCUUCGAUUUUUGAGAGAUGCCUAUUGUGGGUUUAUCCAAAGGCAUUUAUUCCUUCGUCUUCUAGGCUGUACGCGUAAUGAGCUCCAAUGUCAACCUGUGCCUCCUUCUAGGGUUCUGUCCAGUACUAAGGUCGAAUGAUCCCUCCGGUGCCUCUCUUUCUGGGCUCACGACUGCUGAGAUUCUAAGCAACCUUUGUGAGGCUCCCUCUUGUUUGUUUGUUAAUAACAUUUGUAAUCGGGGAUAUCUUUUCCUUCAUUUCACGUAUUGUUUAAUUACACAACCUUCUUCGCUAGUUCUUUGAAUUUUCUUUGUUGAAGCUUUGUGAGUGGGCAUUAGGUUUGAGUAUGUUCCUUAAUUUCCUGAGUGAGGAAAACUUCUCGGUUGGAGACUGGAAAAUCCAAGUCAUUGAGUGGGAUCGGCUAUAUGAAUUCUGAACGCUUGUGCUCGGUCUUGUGUUAUGUCCUCGUUAGAUCCAGUACUUAAGUCUUUUCUUAGUCUCUUCCAAGUUUUCUAGUCUUCCUACCCCUUCGGCUGAACUCUAUCCUAGUCGCAUCUUCAAUCGAAGUCAGUAGGCCUUCUUUGCACAUGUCCAAACCCGUAAAACCGAUUUUCUCUCAUCUUUCCUUCAAUUGCGGCUACUCCUACUUUACAUGGAUAUCCUCAUUCAUAAAUCUUAUCCUUUCUCGUGUGCCCACACAUCCAACGAAGCAUCCUCAUCUCCGCUACCCAUUUUGUGUAGUGUUGAUGCUUUACGCCCAAAUUCUGUGUCAUACAGCAUCGCCGGCCUUAUUGCCUCUAUAAAAAUUUUCCCUUGAGCUUCGUGGCAUAUAGGCGUCACACAGCAGCCGGAUCAAUCUUCCAUUCAUCCAUCCACUUGUAUCUAGGUUGAGAUUUCCAUCUAUUCUCCGUUCUUUGCAAUAGAUCCUAGUAACGAAAACGGUCGCUCUUGGUAUUUCUUGAUCUCGAUCCUCACCCCUAAUUUUGGCUCCAUUGCACUGAACUUGCACCUCAUUUUCUGUCUUUGAUCGGCUUAGGCGAAGAUUUAGAUUCCAAACUCCUCUCCAAAGGUAAGUUUGCAUUACCCUUCCUGAGUUCAUCUAUCAACACUAUUCGUCUGCGAAGCAUACACCAAGAAUAUCAUCUUGAAUAUGUCCUGUUAACUCAUCAAUUACAACGCAAAAANUAUAUGGGCUCAAGCAGGCGCCCCGUGCAUGGUCCAAUGUUUUUCCACUCAUUUGGAAGAUUUGGGUUUCCCCUCUACGCGGUCAUCGUUUUUACCUAAUUCAUGGCUCAACUCGUAUUUAUCUCUUAAUUUAUGUUGAUGAUAUUUUGGGUCCGGGAAUAAUCUCUUAUAUUGUCACCUCAUUAAGAUUUUGGGCCUCCGUUUCUCUAUAAGGACCUUGGACGGUUCAUUAUUUCUUAGAUGGAGGUGGUCCGCACUCCAUCAGGUCUCUCUCUUUCCCAACAGAAGUAUGCACUGACCUCCUUACCGCACCAAAUGCGGUGCCGGGUUCCUACUCUGCCGUUAGUGGGCGACGGCUCAGUCUUCGGAUGGUGACUCUGCCGGAUCCUACUGAAACCGAAGUGUUGUCGGCGCCCUUCAUUACUUGACUCUUCACUCGCCCCGAAUCAACUUCGCCGUCAACCAAGUCUGCCAAUCUUCACCAGCCGACUUCUACUCAUUGGGCCGCGUCAGCAUUCUUUCGUUACCUUGUCGGCACUACUUCUCACGGUCUUAUCUACAAGCUGGUUCUUUUGUCUUACGGCAUUUCCGAUGCCGAUUAUGCCGGGAUCCUGAUGAUCGGCGUUCCACCGGGGGGCUAUUGCUGUACUGGGUUCCAAUCUUGUCUCAUGGAGUGCCAAGAAACAAAAUGGGGUCUCUCCGGUCCAGCACUGAGCCGAGUAUCGUCAAUUGCAAUCACCGCUGCCCUCUUUCAUGGUUUCGUAUGCUGUUCGUGACCUCCAGUUUCCUCUCCAUUGUCCUUACCACUGUUCGUGUGACAAUAUCAGUGCUAAUUCCUUUGCUUUCCAACCGGUGUUUUGCCCGCACUCGGCAUGUUGAGGUAGAUUCCAUUUAUGUUCGUGAAAGGUUGUCGCAAGGAGCUUUGAUGUUCAGUUAUCUUUCUAUCAUGAUCAGAUUGCUGACAUCUUCACCAAGGGCCUUUCUCUUCCUCGUUUUCGACUUCUGGUUUCCAAGCUUCCUGUACUUGAUUGUACUGUCAGCUUGCGGGGGUAAAGGAUGAUACAUUCCUGAUCUCUUGGGAUUGUUUCCUGUUUAUCAUGAUUUCCAGAUUUCCCUGUUUUAUUAAAACAUUCCCUUUAUGUAUUCUUUGUAGAUUAAUUAUACUUGUAAAUCAAGUCAUUGUACACUAUUUAAAUCAAUGAUAAUGCACCCUCUAUAGUAUCGAGGGAUUGAGCCAAAAUACCUUCUUUUACUUUUGCUGUCUUGUCUGCAAUUCCUCCUUUGAGUUAUCUUUUAGUUAGUAUCAACAAGGACAAGAAUUCCAGGGAUGGUGACCGUGCGUAGACCUGAUGAAUCAGUGGUGUGUCUCGGUUGGCUACCCAUACGAACUUUUUUACUUGAUCGCUAGAAUGGGACUUACAAUUACAAUUAACCGAGUGUUGACUGGCCAGCCUGUCCAGGUUCAGAUAGACUUAACUCCAUAUCAUGAGUAGCUGUCCAACCAGGUUCAUAGGCUUCAAGGAAACCGAUCUUUGCCUUGUCGGGGAGAUCAUGGGAAUGAACAAAUGGCACCUCGUUUGGCCACCCAAUCUCCAUUCUUAUAUUGGCAAAGGGGCUAUCAAGUGUCUGAAUGUGAUUCUCACACUCCUUCAGGUUGCAGAACCUCAGCUUGAUUCCCUUCUUGUCUGCAAUGUCUUGAACCCUUUCCAUCAGGACUCUCUGGACCUCGACCCACAAUCUCUUGGAAGGUGGCAGAGGUUUGGUUCUUUCACCCUUUCUCCUCCUCAACAAAGGCUUCAUAGAUCCUGUUCCAGCAUUUCAUCGAUCCAAGGAACCUAAUGUUAAAAAGCUUCUCACAUAAGAGAUACACAUAAACACGUGCAAUCCAAUAUCAAGAGGACUCAAGAGACGGAUAUAAUUUUUAGAAGAUAAAACUAGAUUGAAGAUCCUUGUUAUGACAGCAGAAAUGCGAAAACUAUUAAGUAGUUGAUGAUUACUAUCAAUAGAGUUGGACUUAAUUUAGCUUAUACAUUGAACUUAUUUUUAGUGUGUGCAUGUGCUUCAGUCAGUAAGACCAAUCCUAAUUAAAGUAAGCUGUCAUUAAAAAAAUUGCAUUCAUGAAAUCAAUUUACAGUAUGUAACAAGCAGGCAAUUGGUAAAGAAGAUUAAAUGCAGCAUACCAUCUUGUGCUGCAUGGAAAUUGGAACUUUGGAAACCGUGUCUGUUAAAGAGUUGAUUGGUGGGGUGAGAUCUCUGCAUAAAGUCAUCAACCGCUACUGGAAGCUGGAACUGAGCUUCAACCCCAUGACCAGCAGCUCUCAUCUCUGAACAACUAAGAUUGGUCAUGGAUUUAGGCAUGAAUUUAAAAGCCAAAGAACAUCGCCCAAACAAGUUGCUCUGUGUAUUAGCAGUCUCCGUUCUCUGCAGUGCAGGGUUAACAUAUCCUGCAGUUGCCUGAUAGAGUGCGAGUCCAGGGUAAACAAUAGCUUCUUGAGGACCAGUCACGAGGGUCAUUGUUAUUAACCAUAUCUGCAGCUGGGUAUGAUGCUUUCUGGUGGAAGUAGAAGCGAGCCGAAUCUAAACCCAACCUCAAAAGAGCCCCAUCACUCACUGGAAAACUGAAUGAUGGCAGCAGAAUAGAGUGCUAGUGAUUGUGACAAAGUUGAAACGGAUAGUUUGUAAGAUUCUGAUGGAAGGCCUUCAGCAGGUGCCAGAUCAGUUAGCUUCACACGACCUAGAGAUGGCAGGCCAUUACUUGCCAUGAAACCCUUUGGGUAUACUUGCUACCUGAUUUUGAAGAGAGGCACAGGUUACCACUGACAUAACUCAAAAUUAAUAAACUGAAAACAGCAUAAUCAUUCAUCAAUCAGAAUCUCCUCUUUUUUUUCUUAUGAGAAUUUAGGAACUCCUUGACCCUUAAGCCGAAGCCACAAAAACUGAACCAUCUACGUACUGCAAAGAAAGAAAGUAUAUGAAGCAUAAAUAUAUACAUACAAAUACAUGUGUGUACAUAUAUGAACAUUUUAUAUUGAAAAAGUGCUCUCCUAAGGUCCUUAAAAAAGUCAAGCUGCUCAACUAUUGAUCGUAUAUGUACGCUAGAAAUGCAAGAUCUAUGAUACGUUGCAUGCCGAGGGGACAUUUGACCUAUGUACAGAUAAAGUUAGAAACUAAGGGCCUGUUUGGUAUCCUAUUUGAAAAUUUUUAUCAUUUCUCAAAACAUUUUUUAAGAACAUUUCUUGAAAAUAGUUUUUUUGAAGACUCAAAAACUUGAUUGGUUUCUAAUUUAAAAUUUUUAAAUCUUACAACUUAAACUAUAACAAAGAGAUCUAAAAAGAGGAGGACGCAAGAGAGGUAGAAAGAGGAGAGAGGAGGAAAGAAAGUAAGAGAUGAUUUAAGGAAAAAGAAAGAAAAGAGAGAAUUGGACGAGAUAAAGAGGAAGAUGAGUGAGAAAAAAAACCUAAAGAAUAAAGAAAGCGAAUUGGAGAAGAGACGAAAAAGAUAAAAAAAAAAAAAGGAUAAAGAAAGAAGAAAAGAGAGAGAUUUAGAGUGAGAGUAGAGGAGGAAGAGAAAAGAAAGAAGUGAGUUUAAGUUUAAAAACUCUAAAAACUCACUUUUUAGUUUUUAGAUAAUAUAUUAUAUUUUUUAGUUAGUCUUAAUUUCAGUUUUUUAAAAUAGUCCUACCAAACAAGUUUUUAAGGUCUAAAACUUGAAAAUUGUUUUUGAGUUUAAAAAGUUGGAUUCAAGUACACUACCAAACAGGCCCUAAGUUUUUCCAAUUACUAGUAUGAGCAACGAACACAAAAAAAUUUCUUAUUAAACUUCGAUCUAAUAAUCUCUUUAGUCAGGAAAUUGAAGUGAUAUCCAAAAUCUGCCACAAUGUCAUCUAAACUCAACACAAAAAAAUAAAAUUGCUGAACAGUUCUGCAAGAUGAAGACUAAAUGCUACAGCAUCGACCGGAAACACUCUUCCAAACACAAAACCAGCCUUGCAACCAUAUUUCUUUCAAGUAUAUUGUCCAAACGGGGUAGUCUUUGCUCAUACAGAAGAUUGAAAAAUCCUUAAACACACUCGAUGCAGCAACGAACGAUUACUGUCUCCAUUAAGAUUUAUCCAACUGUUAAAAUGUUGAGUUUGUUUCAAAAAUUGUAUUACUUUUCUCCCCAAUUUUCAAACAAGAGCCCAUAAGACCAAUUGGCAACAAUUUGCAAUCCAGAUUUAGCGUCAUUAAUUGUUACCCAUCAACUAAUUCAAUCCAAAACGUGGAAAAAAAAAACUGGAACAAUUUGUUUCCUUUACUUGAUCUAAUAAAUAUAGAAAUGGUUCAAGAACACGGGAAAUUCCCAAUUCUCAAAACAAACAGAGAGAGAGAGAGAGAGAGAGAGAGAGAGAGAACUGACCUUCAUUGGUAGAAAAUGUUGCAGACGCCAACCAACCCAGAAGAAAGUUAAAUUCACGGGAAGAUUAGGGCUUUACAAAAGGGAGAGAGGAGAGGAACACACAACACAGUGCCUUUUUUCAAUUUUUUUUAACAGUUACACUUUCAUGGUGGAUUUUACUUGCGGCAACCAAAACUUGGUGAUGAGAUGAAAAUUUUGGAUUUGGCAGUGACCGAACACAGAAGUUGUCGAAAGCCAUAUCACCUACGCCAUAAAUUUUUCGUUCUGACCGGAAUGGGUGGUACAUCGUUUGUUUAUAUAUAAAUUGUAAGAAAUUUUAUUUUUUAAGUUAUUAAUUUUUUAAUAUAUAUAUCUCAUUAUUUAUAUAAUGAUACGAAUUGUAUCAUUUCAUAUGCUAGUCAUAUUGAAAUAUUUCUUCUACUUGGAUAUGUCUUUCCGCUUCUCAAAUUGGAGAAAUUUAUGUAAGAAGUAGCUAAUGUUAUUCACACGUUUAUUUUUAUCUUUCAAAUACCUUUGUUAAUAUUUGGCCUUGAUUUUCUCCAAUUUACUCCAUCCGAGCAGCGAAUAUUGAAAGAACAUAUGAGAAGUAAAAAUAAGUAUGUAGAUAGCAUAACCCUCUUUUUUAUAUACAAUUGUUAUUUUUUUAAUUUGUUUUGGAGAAUUCAACAAAACCGUCAUAAAACUUAUUUUCAUAGCACUUUUGUUGUUUUGUAAAAAUUUUCAGAAUUCAUUUAAAACGUUUCGAAAAUGUUCCCAUUGAUGAAAAUUUGUUCUAGCCACAUACUAAAAUCUGUUAGAAUUUUUCUCCAUUGAUUUUUUUUUUUUGCCUUAAAAAUGAACAAUGUUUGGCCACUCAAGAAUGAAAAUGCCUCAGAAACAGUUCGUAAUACUUUCAUCAAUUCCUACCAUAUGUUUUUAUAUAGCUCAAUGACUAAACAAUAUAAUUUUUUUUUUUGCUGAAAAAUCAUCUUUACGAAUCGAUUUAUAAUAUGAUAUUUCCGAUCAUAUUCACAAACUUUUGUGAAUUGGCCUAAAGAGUGUAGCUAUGUGACAAUGACUUAUAUAACAUUGCCUCCCGAUUGAAGAAGUUAUAGGAAAAUCAAGAGACAAAAUAAAGACGAAAAUGUGUACGAAAAUUAUUUCCAAAAUUUUAUCGAGCCUCGACUAGUGAAAUAGUGACUUCAUUAGCUGAGCAUGUUUUAGAAGAAUGACCGGCUUCGAGUUCACUCAUAUCCCUUUCACUGUAAAAACCAGGUUUUAGAGGUGGGGGCAAUGCACCUUCACUACCCAACAUUAGAAUUGCGGCUGACAUGCUCGGCCUGUCUUCUGGAUUCCUCUGCACACACAAAAGACCCACAUGAAUCGUUCUCACAACUUCAUGCAGAGUGAUGGAGUCCUCUAUCGAUGCAUCAAGCAGUUCGAGAGGCCUGCCUUCUGUGUGUAGCAUCCAUGCCUAAAACACGAAAACUAGUGUACUUAGCAGAAGUAGUAAAGUCGAGCGAUAAGAAUUUUUAACUUGACAUUUGAUGUUGUUACACUCACAUGUCCAAGAAGGUUGAGUUUGUGGUCUGGAUGAGAGAAUCCUCUAUUUCUACUCCACUCACUAUCUCUAGCACCAGAACACCAAAACUAUAGACGUCGGACUUUAUAGAGUAAAAACCAUCAAUUGCAUAUUCUGGGGACAUGUAACCGCUGCAGACCAAUGUGUCAAAAAACAUUUUUAUACGCAAAGAAUCUAGACUUUCUAGUUUCUAUUAGUGUUUUUAAAAAUUCAUUAAAAAAGAGCUGUACAAUUGUGUUUUAGGAUACUUACUACGUUCCGACCACUUUCUUCGUUUCAAUUCCUCCAAAGCUUCUAGCCAGGCCAAAGUCUGAGAUUUCGGGUUAAAUUCACUGCCUAAUAAAAUGUUACUUGCUUUGAGAUCUCUAUGAAUAACUCUCAAUCUAGAAUCUUGAUGAAGAUAGAGGAGCCCUCGAGCUAUCCCAUUAAUAAUUUCAAAGCGCUUCGCCCAGUCUAAUAAUAUCCUUCUUGUUUGAUCUGCAAAAUAUCAUAAUUCACAAUUGUCAAAAAAUACAUCGUGCUAGGUUGCUAGCAUAAGUGGACUAAUUGAACUAAAUGCAAGGUUUUGGAGUGGUCAAACCAAAAAUAAAGAAGUCUAAGCUCUUGUUAGGCAUGAACUUGUAGAUCAGUAUCAUCUCAUCUUCUUGAAUGCAGCAUCCAAGAAGCUUCACUAGAUUCCUGUGCUGAAGUUUGGCAAUAUGUGUAACUUCAUUCUUGAACUCGUUGAGUCCUUGUCUAGAAUUUUUUGAAAGCCUUUUCACUGCGAUUUCUUGUCCAUCUUGCAUCGUACCCUAAAAUCCAUCAACGUAUGUUAUGACCAAAAUUCAUAUUUUGUAGUUUGCACACUACUUGUAUCCAUCAUUCCAUAUUCUGACCAGAAUUACAUGUAUCUAUACAACUUCGAAACUAUGAAGGACUAUCUAGUUUUACCUUAAAGACAGAUCCGAAACCGCCUUCACCAAGUUUGUUUUCAUUUGAAAAGUUAUUGGUUGCAGAAACUAUAGUCAUCAAGUCAAAUAACGGUAAUUCCAGAUCCUCAUUUUGGUUGCGUCCCAGUUUUCCUACAAAGACGCAGUGACAAGUGAAAAAAAUUCCCUAUACAACUGAACUAUGUAGUUUGGAAAGAAGAGGGGCACAAUAGUACAACCAACUUACCACCUUUUUGGUGCUGCUUCUUCCAAACAUAAAACAACAGAGAAAGGCCCAGGAUCAGCAAUCCGAUAGACAACACAAUAGUGCUUAUUAUGAUUCUCAUUUUCUUUUCAUUGGAUUCAGAGUAUUUAGCGUUGAUCUUUGUAUCGUCUUCAUGAUCUACAAAUGAUAUUUAUGAAAACAGAAAAUCUAUGAGUCGGAGAGUAAAAAACAAAUAAAUAAAAACUGUAUAAUGUCUAUCAUCCAACUAAUAGUUUCUAGUUUGUGAGACAAUUCUAAUAGAGGAUAUUGCUAAUUGUGUCAACAUUCAAAGUUAAAACUGUUAGAAUUAGUACAAUGUUUCACUUCGUUAUGUCUUGACUUUGUUUCGAGCAUAUGAUUAUGACUAAAUGCAUAGUCACCAAAAGGUGUUUUUUACGUACUUUGUUCUGCUGCGGCCAUUCUUAUAUAAAUAUCUUGCCCGUUUUCAGCAGUGUAUCUUAUAUCAAUUAGAUCACCGUACCACAGCAAGCACCCAGUUCCUCCAUCCCGGAUAUCCAAAUUUGUAUAAGCCGUGCAGGAGCAGUUCUUCAUGCACACCAUCUCACAUUCCUUGAGGUUCAUACUUUUGUUAUGCCAUGAUUGUUCUGUGCUAGGCAAUUUCACCCCCGAGUACUUUUGGAACAUGUCUCCGGUGCAAUUUAGAGAAGUCUUUCUCACACAGCCAUGAGACCAAUCCACCAAAUCCCAUUCUUUCGGGAACUUUGGUGUAAAUCCUUUCAAACAGCUACAAACCGGGGACUCUUCAAUGUUACAUGCACCAUGUACACCACACAAUGCAUAGUUUACACAGUCAUCAAUUUUGGCUGAUUGGUAAAGAACCCAACCUCUGGUUCUAUCAAUCCAUGUGUAGCGCUGCACAAGUCCAUCUGAAGUUAACACCACCCUCGAAAAGAUUGAGUUGUUGUGAAGCUUGUAACUGUAGUACAUUUCAUCAGGCUCAGAAACAAAACUGUAUGUGAAUAUAGGGUUUGGAUUGAACUGAGGGCUUCCACUGAACCCGACUCCAUUCCAUGGUCCAGACCGAUAUUUAAUGACCGAACCUUCCCUCACAAAUAAUUCUGCAUAUCCCUUGGGACCAAGUUGAGAUGUACGAUUUCCUUGAGAAGGAUCCUGAGGACUUUUCCACGAUCUAAGAUGCCAAUUGAAGCCUGUAACUGUGUUCCUACCAAUCUUCAUACCUGGUAAGAAUGUAUCGCCAGGGUAAUCAAAACCUUGCCACAGAAAGUUCUCAGAGUCGUCAUCACUCCUAUCUAUCACGACAAGAUUACCCGAAUCCAAAAGACGUGCCACUGGAUUCUGUGCAGUUCUCGAUGUGUUGGAGGACCAAAUUGUGCUCAUGUUGUGGUUGAGGACAAGAAUUCCGGGGUUGGUGACCUUCAAAACGCCGGACAUAUCAGCGAGGGGCUUGUCUCUGUUGGCAACCCACACAAUGGUUGUAACAGAUAUCUGUUUACCAUAUCGCCACGUACCGUCUAUUAGAAGCAUCAGGAUAGUAAAAUCCUAGCUCAAACGUACCGCCAGUUGAAACUACAGUCUCACCGUCUCUAAUGGACUGAAAUGUACUCGUGGCGUCAUCAGCUGUGGAGAUUACGGCUGCGACCAUGAGCAGCAAAGAAGAGUAGAAAAGAAGCAAGCACAUCUUAGCUAAAGCAUUUGACGGAUUUUUCAUAAACUUCAUGGGAAAGCACUGAAUAUUGUCUGUCAUUUGAACACCUUAUUGAAAUAACGUUGAUACCUUUUCCUGCAAGCAACCAAUCAUUUUCAAGUUCAAUAUUGUUGAAUAGUCGGGUGCGUGAGAAAGUUGUCUUCAAUCCGAAGUAGACUUCGCAUUCGGUUAAGAAUGAUGUUGUCGUAGCCGGAUAUUUCACUAUGACAACUAAGAUUGUUCAUCUAGUAGAAAAUAUCCGAAUUAAUAUGUGGUCAUAUCCAGUUCCCUCGGCUCAAAGGAAACUUAAAUGUCUGAUUGGUGUACUCUCUCGCAUUAGUCUUGUAUUCGAUAUCGUUUUCUUUCCUUUUCAAUUCUUGUAAUUCAAGAUUAAUCCCACGUUAGAAAGUAUCAAUAAGAGCGUCUUCGGUGGGCGAUAAUAUUCCCUGUAACUGGUUGUAUAUCUCAUUGUGUCUAUCUCCCUAAUCACGUUAAGUUUUUCAUUUUCAAAGUCAAUCUGUUACACAUGUAAUGGAUCAAUUUGGUACCCUGUCAUUUUCUUUAGUUUAUACUAAAAAUUAUUGGCCGCACGUUGUUGCAGGAUUAAAAAUUGUAAAAAGCAUUAUAUUUGAAAGAUAUAAAAGAUUGUGUCAAGAAGAUUAAUACAACUCAUUGCUAUAUUUAAUUGAUACUCCACAUAAAAAUCGUAGAAGUUUUGGCUAUCUAUGUACAUAAAAUAUUAGAUCAACACAUUCCACUUAGGUAGUUUUUGUGAUUUUCGAUUGACAGCAGUACUUAAAUACGAAAGAUUACGAAACUUUGGGUUAUUUACAUGAAAAAAAUGUUAAGAAAUACUGUCAUUUACAUUGAUAAAAUAUGACAAAAAUUGUUCAAUGGAAUACCAAAAGAUCACUCCACUACUCUUGAUUGUCAAGAAAUUAGUUUAAACCAAUCCAAAGAUCAAAACUCUUUCAAAAUUCCAUGUGUAUUCAGUUUCUCUAAAUCAACCAACUUCUCCAUUCCAAACCAUCUAACAAAUAUUUGGCAGCAAUACAGCCAUCAACAAACAUUUUAAACCCAUUUCCAUGUGUAUUAAUGAUUUUCAACCAAAUUAUUUGAAGAUGGGGAAUCACAGAGCGAGCUUAAUUAGGAACCAAAGAAGAUCUGCAAAAGCAAGUUAAGAGAUCAUCGUACUACAGAAGCAAAUUACAUAAUAAAAUUAAGAGAGCAUUAUAUUACCAAAGCAUAAUAAUAUGUUCAUUUCCAAAUGUAUUACGAAAACCUAUUGUUUCAUUUUUUUUCAACCCACAAAAUUUACAGUUUAGUUCAAAAAAUUUGAUCUGAUUAUUAAUAUUCACACGGAAAAGAUACGACUCAAAUGAACUGGGCAUUUGAAGUCACUUUCUUAUUUCUUAUAACCACAUCAGUAUCAUAUAUAUAUAUAUAUAUAUAUACAAACGUAGCAAAACAGCCCAGAGUUUUGGAACUGUAUAAAACGUAGCAAAAAGAAAAUGGGUUUGUUUCUUCACUUUGUUCCUCCUCCUUUCUUCUGAUACGUAGGUGCUUUGACACUUUGUACAGCUCCAAAGCUGCCUCCUUGAGAAAACCAGUUUUUGGAAGCUCAACAAACCCUGCUUCUCCCAGAUGGUUCUGAACAAAGCUUCACCUGCAUCACUCGCACCAUGGUCUAUACACCUACAUGCAACUUUUGAUUUGAUUAUUAUAUAUUUUAUUAUGUCGAUACUCUACUAUAGAAACAAAAAUAAUUACACAAUACAAUUCAAAAGGAGAAAUAGUUCUUCAACCCAGUUGCAAGAGACGUCGAAAAUAAAGAAAUGGAGAUAUGUGUAUUAACUUGUUCAUAUUUGAACACAUAUACUUAUCUAUGAUAUAUUUUUUACAGUAGCACAUGGCUAAAGAUAUGUUACGCGAUAAUAUAUGUUAUGCCAAUUAUUGACUGAAGACAUGGCAGAAGAAGCAAAACGAAAAACAAUGGCAAAGAAUUUAGAGAGAGAAAGUGAAUGACUAAAGAUUGUAUUCCUUGAACAAUGAAGGAAUUCCAGAGAGAGGCGUUCGUUAUUUAUACAAGUAUUCUUUGCUUCACUCAUAAGCUACUUACCAACUUUCUUAUCCCUACAAAUCCCAACAGACUAACAGCCUUCCUACAAUCUCAACAAACUAACUGCCUCGCUGAUGUGUGCCUUGCUGAUGUGUAACCUUCAUGCUGAUGUGUCUGUAGAGCCAUACUGAUGUGUACAUAUCAGUCAACAGACCCAUGGCCUGAAGCAAUAACUUUAUGUUUCUUGAGUAUUCAUCUAAUAAAAGGCUAUUUGGGACAAGACUGGAUCUUUAAGAUAAUCUGAUGUGCUGCAACAACAUACAUGGAGACCUAGAAAACAAAAAGCAAAGAGCAUUGGUAAGUAAUAAUAAAACAUAAAAAGUACACAAAUUUAUCAACAAGCCAUGAAUGACCAAUCUUGUGAUAAUUCCAAAUCAUGUUUUUUUUUUUUUUUUCAAAUGGUAAUUCAUUCAACACGAUAGAACUCCCUGUAUACAAGGAGGAGAGAUAAGCAUAUGAGAACACCAAAUAAACUUCAAUAGACCAUCUUUUACAAUCACACACACUAGUAAAACUGCUUGCAAGUCACAAUCUUUCACAUAGUUUUUCCUAAACCCCAUGCAUGCUUCCCUCCUAGCAAAGCAGUUACAAACUUACAUGAUGUCUGACAUGGUUAAAGACAAGGGCAACUUUUACAAAAGAAACGCACCAAGUAAUCAACCACAGAGCAUUAUCGUGUCUAUCAAGUCUCACAUGUUUUGUACAUCCUAAAUAAUGAAAAAGCAUUAUCAUUCAAUUCCAUCUUUAGCAGCUUUGGCCUUAUGAAGAAUCGCAGCUGCUAAAGAUGCUAAGCAUGGAAAAUCAAAAGCGUCCAACAAUGAAUAUAAAGUGGGAUAAAGUAUGCAACAAGAAAAUAAAUCACUAGGCUGGGGGAGGAAAAGAAGUUGGACAAAGGACAUGAUUUUACAACAAAAAAGAUAUCCGAUAAUUUGGCAACUGAUUGCCAACAAACAGGUUCUUACAACGAAAAAUAAUGACACCACUGAUGCACAAGGACAACUUGCUUAGCAUACUAUGACCAUACCUUCCAAUAUACAACAGCAACUAACAAGAAAAAGAAGCACGAUGCAAAACAAGAAUCAAAUAGAAAACUAAGAAAAACGUUAGCCAAAACCUAUAUAUUUCAUCUCUCCCUUCCCCCUAAAAGAAAAUACUAACAAGGAAUAAGAAAAUCCCUGGCAGGCAACGUUACAUUGUCCCUUCAACCCCUUUUCCUACCAAAAUAUUUCCACCCAUAGAGACACCUCUUCGACUAUCUAUGUUAAUUGUUACAGUCUCAGGGAAAUGCUCUAAAACCCACAGUGAUGCAGCUCUCCAAUAUGGAUGAGUGACCGAGGGACAUUUCAAACCCAUUUUCCAAUCUAGCCUACGCAUUUUCUUACGAUUUCACCAUGCAAGAAAGGCUUCUCAGUGUGUGUUUAACUCCCAGUACAAAGGGUUAUUUAUGCCGAACCCAAUUUUUGUGAAAAAAAUUAUGGAAUUUGCCAAAACCCCUAAAAAUAUUUAGCUCAAACACUUCACAAACGAUGAUUCUGCACUAAUUUUACGACCCCAAAGCAUCUCUUCUUUCAUAAAACACAAUUUGGGUCAAAACCCAAAUGUAUCAAAACUCAAUUAUACACACUGACCAAUAAUCAGUAAAAUAACCAUUAAAAUGCAUCAAACUGAUUAACAUUUCAGCUGACCAAAUGCAGAAAGAACCAGCUUUUUCCAUCAUACAAAGCCAAGCUCACAACCGAACCCACUAAAUCGCACAGCUCGGAACCAGAUCCAAUUCUUUACAAACCAGAAUCGUAAUAAACCUUAAAAAUCAGACUUUGUUCUUUUUCCCAAGCACAAGUUAAACCAGAGAAACCAAGAAAACUAACUUAUUUUCUCAUAAUCAUCAUAUUUUCCCAAAAAAAUUGAAAUUUUCCAUGGAAAAAUCAAGAAAACGAACCUGGAGAUGCAGCGGCUACGGGAGAAGACCGAGAUUGAACCUGGAAUGAACAUGUUUUUUAAUUUUCUGAUUUUAUUGCUGCGGCAAACUAAUUAGAAGGGAAAUCCCAAAAUCAAGUCUUAUAUUUUGGAGGCAUGUUUUCACUAAAUCAGUGUUCGUGUGUCCCCAACAAAUUGAGUGAGUUUAUGGCUGUUGCAUAUAAGGCUAGAUUGGAACUCUAAUACAUUAGGAUAGUGGGUUCCAAAAAUUUAAGAGUAUGAACAGAAAGAAAAACGCAUCAGACCUCCUAGAAGCAAUUUUUUUUUUUUCAGUUGCAGAUCGAAGCAAUACAAAGAAAGAGAAACCGAGAGGCAGAUCGUACCUAGACUGGAGAUGCAGAGCUGAAGUUCACAGAGAAGGUUGCAAAGGGGAGAUGCAGAGGAUGAGGAGGAAGGUUGCGAAGGGGGGAGAUGCAGAGGAGAGGAAUGAGGAAGACAACGGCAAGGCAGAGAGAAGAGAUAUUGUUUUAGGGUUUGUAAUGAUUUAGAUGGUGUAAUUUUUGAAAAAGAUAUGGGGUAUAUUUGUCUUAAAAUGGUAAAAUAUUGUGUUCCACAGGCGUGGAACAACCUGUUCCAGGGGGUAGACGCGGGACACAAAAACACCCAAAUUCUGUCCCGUGGAACAGCACGUUCCACCCUAUUUUGGCGUACCAAAGGCGGGACGGAACGUCUUGUCCCGUUCCGUCCCGUCCCAUCCCGCUUACCAAACGCACCCUAAGUGACCCUGGUGUGAAUAUUUCCCAGAGCCGAACAAUACCCUUUUUGUGCACAGUUUUGUGCAAACUGUAACAGGACAGAAUGGUUAUGAUCAUUACUGGUAAAGAAUAAGCAAUAUGCAACACUCGAGAACAGUAUUUUAAUGUAAUCUGCCUAAGGCUCUGGGUUUAAAUUUCAUCAUCCAUGUCAACUGCAAUAUCGACCGUGAUAUGCAAUACUUCAGAUUAAAAUACUUGUAACGCAACUCCAUACUUGCCAACAUGGAAGCAAAAGGAGGAAAGGAAUGCAUAUUCUACUUUACCUUCUGAGUAAGCACUUGAAAGCUCUUUUUGAACUCUUUUGUGCUCAUCCUAAUUUUGUGAUCGCUCAAUUUCAAGUGUAGCCUCUCUUUUCUAGUGAGAGAUUCCACUACAACCUGAUAGGCAUAUUCAAGCAUUUAAUAAUCUACAGAAAUUAACUCAGCAAUAUUAAAUAUCAAACCCACUUACUUACCAUCUAUCUUAUCCAACUCUUAUUUCGGUUUCUCUGUCAAAGCUUCGCAAUAAUCUAAUUCAAUUACUCUUCCUUGCUUUUUAAUAAGAUCCCUACAAUCAAACAAACAUAAUUAUUCUAGUAAACACAUUCGAAUUCAAACACAUAAAAGAUGUUAUUCAUACCCAUAUCGUCAUAUUGCUGCUCUGAUCUUGAAAAAUUAAAAUUAAUAAUAAUCGUUCAAAUCAUAUUACAAUAUAUCACAAACUAUGACAUCUGAUAAUCAAUACAUUUAAGAAAAUUUAAAAUGAAUUCAAUUCACUCCAAACGGUGAUAUUAUAUGUUCACAUAUAUAUUCACAACAACAACAAAAUCACUUUCUAGCCACUGGGAUAAAAAUAAGAACAGAAAACAUUAAUUCGAGUGCACAUAUGAACAUCACAUAAAAAUCAUAACAAAAUCCAAAACAGAAGGAGAGAUAACAAAAAUGAUAAUUUUUUGGGACUUACAAUUACAAUUAACCGAGUGUUGACUAGCCAGCCUGUCCAGGUUCGGUUAUACUUAACUCCAUGUCAUGAGUAGCUGUCCAACCAGGUUCAUAGGUUCAUAGCCUUGUUGGGGAGAUCAUGGGAAUGAACAAAUGGCACCCCGUUUGGCCACCCAAUCUCCAUUCUUAUAUUGGCACGGGGGCUAUCAAGUGUCUGAAUGUGAUUUUCACACUCCUUCACGUUGCAGAACCUCAGCUUGAUUCCCUUCUUGUCUGCAAUGUCUUGAACCCUUUCCUUCAGGACUCUCUGGGCCUCGACCCAUAAUCUCUUGGAAGGUGGCAGAGGUUUGUUUCUUUCACUCUUUCUCCUCCUCAACAAAGGCUUCAUAGAUCCUGUACCAGCAUUUCAUCGAUCCAAGGACCUGCUGUUAAAAGCUUCUCACAUAAGAGAUACACAUAAACACGUGCAAUCCAAUAUCAAGAGGACUCAAGAGACGGAUAUAAUUUUUAGAAGAUAAAACUAGAUUGAAGAUCCUUGUUAUGACAGCAGAAAUGCAAAAACUAUUAAGUAGUUGAUGAUUACUAUCAAUAGAGUUGGACUUAAUUUAGCUUAUACAUUGAACUUAUUUUUAGUGUGUGCAUGUGCUUCAUUCAGUCAGUAAGACCAAUCCUAAUUAAAGUAAGCUGUCAUUAAAAAAAUUGCAUUCAUGAAAUCAAUUUACAGUAUGUAACAAGCAGGCAAUUGGUAAAGAAGAUUAAAUGCAGCAUACCAUCUUGUGCUGCAUGGAAAUUGGAACUUUGGAAACUGUGUCUGUUAAAGAGUUGAUCGGUGGGGUGAGAUCUCUGCAUAAAGUCAUCAACCGCUACUGGAAGCUGGAACUGAGCUUCAACCCCAUGACCAGCAGCUCUCAUCUCUGAACAACUAAGACUGGUCAUGGAUUUAGGCAUGAAUUUAAAAGCCAAAGAACAUCGCCUAAACAAGUUGCUCUGUGUAUUAGCAGUCUCCGUUCUCUGUAGUGCAGGGUUAACAUAUCCUGCAGUUGCCUGAUAGAGUGCGAGUCCAGGGUAAACAAUAGCUUCUUGAGGACCAAGAUCGUCUUCCACAAGAACCCAACGACCCUGAAAGUCCUUUAUGUGUAGACCAGCCUUGUCUGACUUGACAAGAGAUAUCAAGCUUUUGUCAACUUGAUGCUCAUGGUCAGAAAACAUAACCAACUGGCCAUCCUCUUGGGUCGUAAAACUAUGGUGUUAUGUAACCUGAAAUGAUGGCCUUGCAUGACAACAGACAGAUAAUACUGAAGAAGAUAUUUACCUGUUUCUUAAGGGAACAUUAUCAAGUACUUCAGUAAAUGGUGAACUCCUCAAGUUCAAAUAGAAGCUGAUAGUGUCCAAUAUAUCUCGAGCUGCCUUUGCAAGCAGUGAAAAUAUAUCUGGUAAAGCUGCUGGAGCAAAUUCCAUUGUGUUGUCGGGCUCUAAAGGAGUGAGUCCAGGUCUGUAAUCAUAGGUUUCUAGCCACAAUUGAGGAUCUGCAUUAUAACCGGAAGUCUUGCACCAGUCACGAGGGUCAUUGUUAUUAACCAUAUCUGCAGCUGGGUAUGAUGCUUUCUGGUGGAAGUAGAGGCGAGCCGAAUCUAAACCCGACCUCAAAAGUGC